AGAGGCUUCACACUUCGCGGACAGAAAGGCCAAGAAAUCAUACCUACAGGCCGUCAGGUAUUUAUGGCUUUUUAGGAGGUAUUUGCAUACUUGGUGGGAAUAACAGUCCCUGGAUGAUGGGAAUUGCAAUCACUCCCGAUGGAUUUUCCUAGCAUUGUAUCUAUCAUUGGUUUCAUAGUUGCUUGCUUAAUAUAUCUGUUCUGCCGAAUUGACCUCUAGACCCCCUCUUUAUUUAAUUACACUGAUCGAAAAAAAUAAAACCUGCAGUUAUUCACCGUUUAUUAAAUAAUGGGAAAAAAGUGGCAAAACAGUACAAUAAAGUAAUUCAGAUCCAAAGGACAGUUCAAAAUGAGGUGACAAUUUGACAAAGUAAAAUUUAGAACGCAGAGAAUGCUGAAAUGUGUGCUGACGGAUGAACUAGGGCCACGUAAUUGGGGACAUUAAGGCUCACUUGCACUGUGACACAGCUGUUACAUUAGGUUGUACUGGGUUACAAUGUUUUAUCUUUGUUUAUUCUAGAAACUAGUGUGAGAGAGAUCUGUGCCAGAGAGACACAGAUUAACCUGUCCUUUAUAAAACACAGAGUAUUAAUGGGGAGACUAAAUCUCCCUUCAUCUCCCAUUCUGGAUAGGACCCCUCAGCAGUGCUGGGCCCCUGCGCACGGUGAUAUUUCCAGCGCUGGCUUGAACUCACCUCUGUUCUAACACGUUGGAAACCUCAGACUAAUACUUCAAUCAAAAAAAAAAAAAUGCUUUGCUUACAUUUUCUGUGGAAUUGGGUCAGAGAGUUAAAUUUCAAAGACGUUUUGCUGUGUAGCAACUUUUGCAAAGACAUCUUUCUAAAAGAGAAAUGUCUGCCGAGCCUGUACAUUCAGCACAGGCAGCAAUCAUUAAGGCAAAUACAAAAAAACAAGUCCUGCACUCAAACUCCCAUCACUCCUGGAUGCCCUAAUACAUACAGUACAGUAAAACAUACAUACAUACAUACAUACGGUAAAAACCAAAGAAAAAAGUUACCUGCGUUUUCUCCCAAUUCCCUAUGUAUAUUUAAACAAAUUAAGGUUAUUUAGUUACUCCAAUGUCCAUGAGAGGAUAUGCCCACCUGCCACGUCAAGGCAGACCUCUCAGGUGGGUCCUAACUCUAACCAUUCACCUUGCUUCCUUGAGCUUCUGGCAAAGAUAUCUCUAAUGAGACAGAAAGGGGUAUUUUUUAUAUACACUCCUAUAUACUUAUUAACCCUUAAUAGGGAACACAUGGGAUGGACGGCAGCCGUGUGAUACAAAAGUGAAUACAAAUAGAAAGAAACUAGUUCUGUGCUCAAACUCCCAUCACUCCUGGGUGACAGCAAUGACCAUAGUACACAUCAGCCAAAAUACAUACAGUAAACACCCAAAAAAAAAAAAUUAAAACCAUUAACAGAAUAAAGAAAUUGUCUGGAUUUUUGGGCCGCAAUGGACUAUUUAUUGCAGUCCACAGGUUCCUACCUGGUGUAGAAUGUUUUUUUGAUCAAUGCAUUGAGCUAGAUAGACAGAAAAUCUCAAAGCUAGGAUUUAUUUGAAUUGUAUAUUAACAUACUGUGAAUAAGUCUACCGGGCAGCUAAACUGCAGGGGCCUUAUUUAUAAUUUAUUUUAACUUAUUGCUAGUAAUUCUCAAUUACAGUCGUACAAAAGAUACAGAGAUGUAUUUCUAUGUCCUAUUAAUGUACAGGUCUGCAACCAUUCUCAGGAUAGGGGGAUUAUCGAGGGUAUUUCAGGCUGGGAGACAUACUUGGGGUACAGACACUUUGUUUGCAGUGCCUCAUGGGAAGGGUACCAUACCUAAAGCUACCCCAUGUCACCAUACUUUGAUAUGCUUUAGCAAAGUAUGACUUAAAAAUACAUUGAAAACAAAUAUUUUGCGGGCUAAAUAUUGAUCCUGGUGCUGCUGCUUUAAAUAAAUCAAAUUUUGCUCACAAGACCCGUGAACGCUCUCCAGGCUGUAGUCUUUUUGCCGUAGUUUAGUUACAGACAGUUACUGCUGGUUAUCUAUGCAAUAUGUUACUCAUGAUGUACAUAGCUCCCAUUAGAAUGGAGAAACACUCAGAAACACUCAUAUUUGUGUUCAGCGAUAUCUCACACGUUCAACAGUACCCCCACAUGUACAGGUUUUAUGGGGUUUAGAAAAGAGGGUAAGUAUUUGGGCUGGAUGGAGGGCUAUAUUGUUAGGGCUUACUAUGCCUCCCUUAUGUCAGGAAAGGGUUAAUAAAUAAAACAGUUACGUUCAGGUGCAAUAAUCCAUAGAUUAAGCUUUUUGGAUUGUACCACCUGUUUAAAGUCGGGAUUUCCUUAACCUGUUAAUUUGGAGAGAUUGAAUUGCCUGCUGCUUGCUUAGUGACUCAAUCAUGCACCUGUGCCCUAUAUGUCUUUCAGCUACAUAAUUAUGUUUGGAAACCGGUCUGUAUAAAUAAGAUACCCCGUUCUUGUUCUAAUUUAUAUUUUAGUUGUUUAAAUUUUUAUUAUUAAGUCACCUAAAAUUUCACCCCACCCCACCCCCCAUUUAUGCCGCUAAAAUUAAAGUGUCCCUCUGCCUAUUUGGAAUGCUGAGAGGUAUGUUAAUAGGCUCCACCCCUGCAGAGUAACAAUAUGAGUUAAUGGUUGCGCCUUUCUGAUUGGGCUGCACCCCAUUUCAACCCCUUCUGUCCUUGUUGGGGUAAGGUAACCCCACCUCAGGAGAGCAGAUGUGCGCCCGACAGAAUACAGAUGUCUUUUUUCCUCUGGAAUGUGAUCAAAUUGUAUUGAAUGCGAUAUUUCUAUAUCUCUGUGCUCCCUCAUCAUAUUGGUUACAAGACGUAACGCUUCCCCAAAGGGGCCGGGCGAAUACACCACUCCCUGAUCCUUCCCUGCGCAUCACUCUGUGUAAAUAUAUAUAUUUAAAACCAAUUUAUUUUUUACUGGAAAAGAAAACGAGCUAUUUCAGCAUCUCCCCUAGUCUCUGUGUGGCUUUGCAGGCCCAUGAUUCUCCUCCCAUUACAGGAGCACGUGUUUACUUAGUGAAGUGCCUCUCUUAGAACCUUAAUCCCAUUUCCACUGGCAUCUUUCAUAAACAGAGAGAGGACAGAGGGAAUACAUUAAAAAUUACACUUUUCACAAGGGGCAGGGCUAGAUUAACCCCUUGGGUUCCAGCAGGGUUGAGCAACACAUGCCGAAGUGGUGUGUUGCUAACAUUCCAGCCACACGGGGUUAAAAGCACCUUUUUCUCGCGGUUUUGAUGUGUUUUUUUCUACACAGGUUGAGGUUGCAUAUUUUCUUUGACUCUUGAGAGGACACACAACCUUUCUAUUAUAUCUUAUUAAACGGCUGACAGCCUGCAUAUCUUUAAUGAACACUGAGUCUACACACAGACAAGAGGAGGUAUGUCUCAAUUUCCAGCAGGCCUUUCCUUUCAGCCAAAGUGUGUCCCAAGCCACUGAGUGAUCACUUCAACCCUUUCUAGUCUGUGUUUAAAAGGAAUUUCACAGCCUUGAUAUAUAGAGUGAUUAAAAGACUGCAGGAAUACACAACCCUCAGCAAAAAAAAAAGUCUUAAAGAGCUUUCAUUAGGCUUUAUGUAGGGGAGAGAAACUUUUUUCAUAUAUUUUUGUUUCUGCCAGAAUAUAAUAUAUCUCUAUCAUAUGAUGUGCCCGUUAAUUAAACAGGCAGACGAUGCAGACCUGCAUUGCACUGUGGGUGCCGUCACACUGUGCGUUAAAAAUUGUAACAACACUGUGUCAAUAAAACCCUAAGAAAGUUGUGUAAAAUAACAGUGAAUUGUGUACUAUAGUAAAAUACUGUUAUUGAGUGGUACUGGAGAUACCACAGACAACGAGAUGGCGAUAUUUUCCUUUAACACCUCCAGAUUUGUUCACAUAUAUCUUGUUUGCCAUUCUUUAUUUUUGGAGUGCAGUGAUAAAUACAUGCUUUAGUAAUGACAUAUGACAUUAUUUUAUUAUGUAUAUAGCGCCAGCAAACUCCGUAGUGCUGUACAAUUGGUGGACUAAGAGACACGUAAUUAUAACCAGACAAAUGGACGCACAGAAACAGGGGGGGGGUUUGAGGGUCCUGCUCAAUGAGCUUACAUGCUAGAGGGAGUGGGGUAAAAUGACACAAAGGGUAUAAGUAGGGGUAAUGAAAUAGGUUGCUAGAAAGUAAUCACUGAGAACUUAGUAGGUUAUUUUUGAGUUACAGGAGAGGUGGGGUGGAGGGGGGGUGAUGAAAAUCCGCUAACAGUUUAGAUUAUAUGCCAUCCUGAAGAAGUGUGUUUUUAAAGAUUUUUUUGAGGGAGUGGAGACUGGGUGAAAGUCUAACGGACAUGAGGUAUAGUAACAAUAUGUUAGCACGAGAGGUUAAGGUAUGCUGCACACCACACUGGCUAGAUGGUGUAUAGCAGAGGGAUUGACGAGACUAGACAGAAACCAAAGGAGAGACAUGAAAGUAUUGCAAUAAAGAUGCACUCAUGAAGGUAAAACAAGAACCUUCUCCAUCCUAGUUUUGGUAAGAAAGGGAGCAGCCAAGGGCUUUUUUUUACAUAGCUCAGUCCCAGAGCCCUAUUCAUGUCCUCCAAGGGAGAGUAAAGUCCCGUGGUAGAAGGGCACACUGCAGGGCAUGGAGAGCUGGUGGGUCAAAUUUCUUGACAUACAAGGGAUUCCCCACCACACCUCUGAAUUCCUUUGCGAACCUUCUUUGGUCCUCAUCGAUGGAUGCCUCUGUGCCGCCUUGUGGUUAGGCGAAGUUUGUAGAGUGCACCGCUGUCAUGGUGGGGCCUUCACUGCUGGUAAAGCCCAGGGUUCAGGAUGGGAACUCUAAAGUGUGUAAUAACCUAUUUGUAGCGGGGCAGGUCGGGGUUUCCUGCUGUCUAGCUGCUGCCAGAAGUUGGUGCACAGUCUGUCAAGCUUGGAGAAGAUGUCCCCAUGAUCAUCACUGGGGUGAGGAAACCAAAUGGUCUCCACCAUUUUGGAUUCACAGUGCGGUCCAUUUGCUCUCACAGCUUCACCCCAUGCUUCUGCCUGAGAUGGGUAGCCUCCCAGGAGUGGACCGGGAUCACCCCUACUGGUCCAAGUGUGGGAGAAAGGAGCACUGGCGUAAAACUUAUAGCCUCCAGACAUCUCUGGUCCAGGAGAUCGGCCUACUUUCCCGCCCAGUGCGUACUAGGCCUCAGUUACCACGGUGGAGCUGAUAAACUCUUGAUGAGUCGCUGACUGCUUUCCAGUGUAGCUGGUAAGUCAGGAAUAAAAGCCUUUGCUUGUUUUGUCCCAAAACGAGGUUUAGGCAGCUGUAUGGGGUGUUUUAUAUCAGGAUAGGGGAGGAGCUCAUCCAAGACGCGUCUUUCCUCCAUGGCAGUCAGGCCUGCCUCUGACAUAUCUUUCAGAUAUAUUUAUUGAAAGUUGUUCCACAGCUGGUGAAGAUUGAUUGAUUGGGGUUUGUUUUGCGAUUCUGGCUGCUGUGGAAUGCAUCACACAGACACGCAUACUCGCGGACUCGUUCAUACUCAGAGUUGCUUCAUUCUUAGUGCAGGAAAAGGAGAUCCCAUCCAGUCAGAGAUUGAUGAGACUCAACAUUGAGCAGCAGCCACAAUCCACGGCUAUCAUAAUGUGCUCAGUCCCUCUCCCCUUGGUGACAUGCUGGGAGAGGUGCUCUCUCCCCAACCCUGCACCCGGCAUUGCGUAGUGGGAGAAAGACCGAAUAAAUGCAGUGAGCCUCUGCAUAGUUUCCAUUUCUCCACCUUUUUAUUAUCAGCGAGGAUUUUUUUAUUAACGUUUCAUUGUGCACCUACCAUCCACAAAGCGUGUAGGUAAGUGCUCACAUUAGUGUGUUACCAAGUAAUGUAGCGUGCUUUAAACUGGUAAAGAUUCUGAAAUAAAUAACAUAAACAAAUAUAGUGCAGACUGUCUGAAUCUGUACAUGAAAUAUAAUAGGGGGAGUGGGAGAGAACUCACAUGUACCAGAGCCCUAUCGCCCCUUGCUCUGGGUUUGAAAUUCCCCACUUGAGAGGGAAGCUGCCCACAGUAAGAUGUCAGGAUCAGGAUAACUUGUCCCCAAGCUGUAUAUAUCAUCAGAUAAAUGGAUUGUUUUUUUUUAAAUUGGUGGGUAUGCCAGCAAACUACCCACAUAAAAGCAUAUUCGUACUGAAUAUAAAACGCCAGUUGGUACCACGAGACAUAAUCCUGAGGUGUCAAGCGAUGUCCAACAAGUUAAGCCUGCUAGCGGUGAUAAAAGGGAAGACGCUAUAUAACUUUGAGAACUGUAAAAUUUCAUUCUUCCAGGAUCUUAGUAGAGCCACACUACAGUGGCAUAAAGCCAUGCAACUCCUCACACAGACCGUACAAAAAGAAGGACUGACCUACAGAUGGGCGACACCGCACAUACUGUGGGUCACCAAAAAACGGAAAGUUCUAUAAGGCCACAGACCCUGCAGAUGCUCCCGCACUCUUGGCGGCACUGGACUUGCAACCUAACCCUACUCACGGACCGCCAGAUAUACGCAACCCCGAAUGGACACUGACUCGGACACUUCUUCAACCUACCCCGGAAGAGGCAGGAGACCAAAGACCAAAAUAACAUGCCUGGCCAUCUCACGUUGCAGUGGCACAUACGUGACUUUCUUAGUUACCAAGUUUUGCAAUUGUAACACUACAAGUUUCGCUUAAUUUGCCCACUUUUACACACACUAAUGCACAGUCACUCUGCUUUGCUGAAACACCCAAAGCUCUCACACUCUGCUCAGGAACUCUCCCCCUCCCCCAUAGUUCCGACACGCCAAGGAGAAAAAGACAAGGGACCAAACACACAGAUGAGGGCCACACGAUAGGACUUACACCACUAGUACUACCUCAUAGAGAUAGCCCACUCACUGGAGACGGAACCGAGAUAUCACCUGGAACCACAGCUCUGCCACCUAGUGGGGCCGACACAACAGAGACACCAACACCUCUCCCUUCUACAUACACCCGAGUGACCUAGACUCCGCAAAACUCACUGGCACGCAAACUCCGCGGACCACUCAUAGAGGGGCUCUAUUAACCCAUAUAUUGACCAACUCACUACAACCCGACAGUCCAUCACACUUCUAAAAAUGUGCUCACCAGACAUAAACCACAAACAUAUGAUGUUACAUAAGAUGUUUACUCGUGUAUCAGACCAAAACACAAAGAAUGUAUGUACGUUGCAUGCAAAUCUGCACCAAAAAUAAAGAAUUUUAAAUAAAUAAAAUGCCAGUUGAUAACAGUCACUUGCGGGUUUCGCCAGUCCCCGAUCACGUGGUCCUUCAGUGUCCGCCUCUCUCGUGACGUCUUGCGUGGCCCGCUUCACCCACCUUCUCUGGCUUCUUCCAACUAACAUUAAACCAAUACAUUGUGCUAAGUUUAGACUGGCAGCUUAUAUCGUUUUAAGGAUGGUUUAGUAAUAAGCGACGAUAAUCACCAUCUGGAAAUAAUACUAUACGAGGGUAGACAGCCUUCAGUACUCCAGAUGUUAUGGACAGGGCCACCAUCAGGGGGGUACAGGUAGUAUACCUGCAAGUGAUCCAGGCCAAAUAUGGACAAUAAAUAAAUAAAUAAAUAAAUAGUGAAUAUGGCUAUAUAUAUAUAUAUAUAUAUAUAUAUAUAUAUUGCCAUUGCAUGCUUUAACAGAGGGAGAGGGAGCCCAGGAGGCUGUCCAUCUGCUCUGCUGGGCCCACUCGCAAAAUCCCGGCUCUCAGAGCUCUGCCGCAAUUACUUUGGCAAUGCUCCGACUCCGCAUUCUGCCGUAGCUCGCAACAACAGCAUGGGCAGCCUCCAAAUACAGCCGGGGAAUGUAGUGUCCCUAUUCCCUGGCCAUGGGUAAGAGCAGGGAGCAGAGACACACAGCAAAUUAACAAAAAAUAUUAAUAAAAUGCUCCUCUCACCCUACUCCUCACAACACAGCCCCUAUCUCAGCCCACAAAUACAUAAUAACACUGUAUACACACACUGCAUACACUACAUACUGUAUAUACACAUACUGCAUACAAUGUAUACAUGAACUGGAUGCACUACACACUCUGUAUCUACUACAUACACAUACUGCAUACACUGUAACAUUCACUAUAUACACACACUGCAUGCACUGUAACAUUCACUAUAUACACAUACUGCAUACACUGUAACAUUCACUAUAUACACAUACUGCAUACACUGUAACAUUCACUAUAUACACAUACUGCAUGCACUGUAACAUUCACUAUAUACACACACUGCAGCCACUACACAUAUUAUAUACAGACUCUGCAGCCACUACACACUGCAGACACAAUACACACAGUACACACUACAUACACACACUGUAUACACUAUAUACACACACUGCAUCCCUUACGCACACACAAACUUACACUGCAUUUCUUAAACACACACACCGCAUCCACUACUUAUAUUAUAUACACACAAUGUAUCCACUAUAUGCACACACACUGCAUACACUAUACACACAUACUGCAUACACUACAUGCAUACACUACAACCCUUAAACACACAUACUGCAUACACUACAUGCACACACUACACCCCUUAAACACACAUUGCAUCCACUACACACAAGUGCACUUCCUUGCUGACACACACAUACACACUACAUUCCUUAUUCACACUGGAUUCCCUAUACACAGACAUUACAUCCUCUACAAACACACUACAUUACCUAUGACAACUCUAAGUGCCUGUGAGAUGGUGGGCGGCCCUUUAGGCAGACUCGGGGUCAGCCCUGUGGGCAGUCUGGGAAGAGGGGAGCAAGGUCCAGACUUGGAGAUGUGUAAGGGGCCCCAAAAUGUCUGACUACAUAUACCAUAUUGCUUUGUAAGAAUUAUGGCUACAAGAGCAUGAUGGGAGAUGUAGUCAACAACAUCUGGAGUGCUGAAAGUUGUCUACCUUUGCCCUAUACAUUUGCUAUUAAUCCAUCCAGCACACUGUAUUGAUAAAAUGACACUUAAUACAUGUGCCACCUUGCCACAUUUACGUGGUGGGUGCACUUUAAAUGCUGAUAUUAUCGUGGCUCCCCCAUUUUCAAUGAAGGCUCAGAUUGGAGAGAGAGGGGAAAAAAGCUUAAAACCUAAGAUGAAGAUUAUACUAAAAUAGUCCCGGGAAGGCCGUGAGUCAAAAGAGCUUAUAGAUUUUGGCUCCGGCGGCACAGAGAGAUGAAUUCAUUUCUAGCACAACCUGACUGAGAGUCUUCAAUAGGAUUUCUGUUACUUCAAAGACACUGCACACAAUGGCGACUAAAUCCAAAGGAAUAGCGAUUGUCUCUAAAGCGAGAGCACAUGUCUUGUAUUGCCCUACUUAAUAUUCGUAACCCUUUAUCCACCACAGGUCCUCCAGGGCAUUCCGCUAAUAGUAUAAAACUAUGUUGCAAUACCAAAGAGCUUACAUAUUGUUAUCAAUGUAGCCCAAAGUCUGGAAAUAAUGGGAACAUUUUUAUUUACUGAAUCAUUUAUUAGUGGUUGGUCUUUGAAGUUUAUAUUUCCUCAUACAGACAUGCUGUCUGUCUGCCCUGCCAUAGCUCAUUGAAAUAUAAGCUUUGAGCAUCUAGUCUACCUUUGCUGUGACUUACACUCCCCUUUAGGUUUAAAAGUUUGGUCAACUAACAGAAAUGAGUUUUAGUGCCAUGAGUACAAUCGGGGCAAUUUCAGGGUCUUCCUUCAUACGGUACAUAUUAUAUCAGAGACCGUAAAAUCAAAAUUAAAAAAUUUGAAUUUUAAUGACCAGUUUCCAAUGCAAUAUACAUUUGGUGAGGAUGAUACUACAUUUCCAAAAUGAGAUAUAUAGUACUUUUCAUUACCAAUAAAUACGUAUGAAACUUGAUUCGUUUUUGUGAAUCCAGGGAGUGAUCUUUUAUUAUCAAGUUUCGCACCAAAUUCAGUUAAGAAAAAAAGAAAAGCAAGGAGAGAAUUCUGGUUUCAUUUUGUACUUGGCCGCUAAGGAAAUGUUUCUAUGAAUUCUUCGCAAUUUGGGAAUGUAGUGCAUUUUUUAUACUGACAAUGUGAUAACUCAGUAUUCUAAAUAUCUGGCUUUCGAUACACUGUAAACACAAUUCAUUUUUUUUUUUUUAAAUAUGGUCAGUUUUAAAUGGUUUUUAGGAAAAACAUACUUAUUUGUAAAUUCUACUUCUAUUUGAGCUGAAUCAGGAUUUGUUCCCAAUCCACACGAUAUAAUCUCUGGAGAUUAAAACAAAAGGAAAUGUUUAUGACAAGGGAAAAUCAUGUGAAUCGGAAAUUUAAAUUUGAUUUAAAACGUUUUCUUAAUCUCUAACACUUCUUGCAUUACUUUUGUGUUGUAAUAAUGCACAUCUGGUACAAAAUCACUAUUAAAACAAAACCUUAUACUUUGAUGAAAUUAAUAUUUUAUGAUCCUCUUAACAUGCCGCAACCAGUAGUGUGCUUGUACAUAGAUAAUCAGUAAAUAUAUACGUGUAAUCUGUUUCCUAUCCCCCUGUGGAAGUUCCAAAAGAUUACUUAUUUCCUUUACAAAUGUAGUUUAGAAUACGCAUUUCAGAUGCUAAGAAGUAGAAUGAUGGGAAUUAUUAGCGACGUUAAAUAACAUUCUCAUAAGAUAAAAAAUAAUUAAUAAAGAUUAUUUCUGCAAACUCCCCAAAUAUUUGGAAACCAUGUUGAGUGCAUUAUAUCCUUUGAAAGGAGAUGUCUAAUGCCACACUGAUACUGCAUAUUAGGUAAGAGGUAAUGCUUUGCCUGCAUAUAGCUUCUAUCAUUAAUAUUGUAUGCACUUUUCUCUGCAGUCAAUAUUUUUAUAAAAGCAGUUUGACCUGUGCCUCCUAUGUUUGGUUUGUCUAUCUAUUGACUAAUAAAGUUGUAACUUCAGACACUUCCUAUCAGUGUAUGCAGUCACUGCUCAUGGGCAGGGUCUGCCUUCUUUCUAAACUGCAAGACAUGCCCCCAGCUGAAGCCACACCCAUGAGGUUCCUAGGAAGUUGGAAUAUUGUCUAAAAAAAAGAUACCUAACACUCCUUUUAUAUUUAAUAAGGUGGGUUAUUGCUUAAUGCAGUUGGAUUUUUCUUCUCUCUUCCAAUAGUGACAAAGUAAUAGGAGGUAAAGACUGAGUUAUGUGGCUGGGAUCAAAGAAAGAUAGGGAACUGGAAGAAGUGAAUAGACCGGAGGAAUAAGAGGCAGAAUUGGACAAAGCAGUAAAGAAAGCUGAACACUUCUUAUAACAGAGCCCAUGUCCCCAUCAAUUGACUGUCAUACCUGGAGUUACAGGAUCCGAUCUAGAGAGCAGCUACAUAUCCUACUAAUCUAACUCUACCUAAUUAAACUGCAUAAUGUUCAGUGUUUUUCCCCUUGAUGUUUAAUCUCUUUGCUUUGUAUACAAUAUAUCACAGUGGGAAAUCAAAUUAAAAAUAACUCCAUUUCUAAUUGUAUUUCUACAACCUCACAGCUGUCAUUAAUUGCUGUUUGCAAUCACCGUUUUCCUAACUAUUUCCUCCGGUUUUAUUGUAACGCCUUAUUAAGGUGGAAAACAAAUUGGAAUCCAAUAUAUUUUUUGCAGCAAGAUUUUUUGUUUAUUAUUAUUUUUAUAUUAUUUUUUUAUGAUCCUAAAAGUCUAGGAAACUGUUCUCUUUUUGUGAAAUCCCUGCAAUUAUUUAACAGAAGAAAAAUCAUUGAAUGGAUUGGUUUUAGCUUAUCUGGGCUCCUGUUGCAAAUUAAGCACCGUAAUAGUACUAAAAUCUGUAUUUAUGAAGUGCCUAUAAAUCUAAGUAUAUGGGGGGAGAGCUCGCUGCGAAGGGUUUGAAGUACUUUUGGAAAACAUGGCCUCUGCAGUCUCAUUUUAGGAUAGAAUGCAUUGCUGUUUCAAUGCAUUUUUGGUAUCGAAGAUGCCAUUGUCCGCAACAUGUUGUUGCUAUAUAUCAGUUUAUUAAGUCUUGGUAGAUUAUUGUGAUUAGGGUACCUGCAGAUAGUACUGAGAGGCUGCAGUCUGAAGAGACAGUCGACGUUGUAUUAGAAAUUAUUCUGCUGUGCAGAUUUUGAUACCUACUUAGUUCUAUGGCCAUAUUCAAGAUUGUCUGUUUAAGAUAAUGGGAAUCUCUGGAAUCUUGUCCUACCAGCCGUAUCACUUACCUUGCAGCCUCUUAAAGGGACACUCUAGACCCCCUAAAGCACUUUAGUGUGCUGAAAAUGUUUAUAUGUGAAGACUGUCCAAUUUUUCAUUUUGGAAAUAGUGCAGAUUUCAAUAGAAAUUGAAACUGUUAUAUAUUAUACUGGUUACACCCCCUGGCCUUUCAAGCAGACAAUAGGUCCUGUUACUUCCUGGUUUCAUUAGCUCAGUUGCACUGAAUUCAAGAGGCAGCAUAUGCCUGAAGCACCUGCCUUGCAAAGACUUCUCAUUGAGCUGCAUUGGGAAGUCUGUGAUUGGACAGCCACAGAAAGUCGGGGCGGGGUUAGAAGGGGAGGGCUUGCAAAGGCUGCAGUCAAAAGAUCUCUAGUUUUUGCAAGUUGUUUUCAUAUAGAUCGCCGAUGGUAAAAUACAUAAUUAAAUGCAUGCAUGUUUUUAUUGGGGAUAUAUCUACUAAACGGUGAUUUUUUAAUUUUAUUUUUUGCAUUUGGGUAUUGGAGUGUCCCUUGCUGGAAUGUGUCACACCCCCUCCCCAUUCACUGAUUUGUGCUGUCACAUUUAGAGGGAUACUCGUCUUGCUGCAUUGCUUCAGGGGCUAACAGCGCGUUCGCUGUGCCUUAUUUUUAAUAGAAAUCAGCACUUUAUAGUAACACCACCUUUGCUGACCAACCAACAGCUGGGAGGGUUCCUGCAUCACUCGCUUCCAACUGUAGUUCCAAACAGAAGUGAGUGCUUCUUGUAGAUUAGUAUUGGUUUCCCUGCUUUCAGUGAGUAGUAUGAUUGACCAAUCACAGCUAUUGCCGCACAUGCGCCAUGUGUCUCAAUACUUCUCGAUGACAAAGUAUCUGAUUGGACACAAGUUAUCAGUAAUCAUGACCUUACAGGACAAAUCCAAACUGCAAAAUUCAGAAAAUAGCCACUCUGUAGCUUAAGAUGAGUUGGAGAAUUUUUCCGAAUCAGAUAUUUUGUUCUACAGUUCUGAUUUAAACUCGUUAAAUUUGGUUUUUAGUGAAUAAACUCCAGUUGACUUGCAGAAUUUUUUCAGUUCGUUUAGAAAUUCACUUUGAAUUCCUGACAAUUCACACUGUAACGAAUAACCCUGUAUGUAUGCUUCUGAAUACAAAGAGGUUCUGGAGCAGCUGCUGAGGGUGCCCCCUCCCCUCCGCCACAUGGAUAUCUAGUGGCAAUGUCAUGGUUACUGAUGAUUUGAGCCAAUAUAAAUAACUUGCCUGUGGGACAAGAAGCUGCCCCGUGUAUGGCGAUGGCUGGGAGGAAAUCGCUUGCAUCCUGCGCAAAAAGCAUUUGCACACUAAAUACGGCCAUUAAAAUAUUUGACAUGAGUUGCACCUUGAAGCAGAUGUUUGUUAAGGGCAGUUUGUCAUCUGUAAGCUGUUUAUGCAGAAAAAGGGCUGUGAAUGUGAUUGGACGCGAGUGUGUGCCUAUCCUUAUAUAACCUGCACAGUAUAGCGAACGCUUCCUUAGUAACCCAGCACAAAGGGCACAGCUGUUUGCUUAUCUGCAAAAUGUUUUCCAUACAAACAGAGGACAAGAAUAGCAUGCCAUUAAAGCCACAAAAGCGCUUUAACCCCUGUAGCCAGGGCGGCACAGAACACUCUCUUUACACGCAUGUAUAUAUUUAUAUGUACAGUGCGUGUGUGUGCCUGUUUUUCAAACUUUAAGCAUGUUUUUGUUGGUCAUUUUUUGCCGGCUCCAUGCUGCCCUGCGUAUCACGAUUAGACAAAUAAAAUCCCAGGAAUGUAUUUUAUGGUGACAGAGGGGGAACACGCACUAAAGACUCCAUUAAAAAUUUUAGUCGUGUUAUUUCAUUUAACUCUUUAAGAUCACAAGAACAAAGCAUUAACAGUGUAAAUCAGUUUUUGUGAUGUGUUGAUUGGAAGGGAUCUCAGCUAUUUACUAAACAGAGAGUUGCUGUGAAAUUAUUUUGAAAAGUUAGAUCAAUGGAGAGAUUUUUUUUUUUUCUGUCUUUUGCAUACCACCCAGGUCUCCCUAUUUAUGAUGGACAGUCCCUACUUUGAGCUCCAAUCCUUUUUUUUCUAGGAGAUCCCUGUUGUUGGUGUGUCUGAGUGUAUAACAGAGCUCCACAGCAAUAAUACUCCCAGUAAUGUGUCUGAGUGUAUAACAGAGCUCCACAGCAAUAAUACUCCCAGUAAUGCGUGUCUGAGUGUAUAACAGAGCUCCACAGCAAUAAUACUCCCAGUAAUGUGUCUGAGUGUAUAACAGAGCUGAGUGUAUAACAGAGCUCCACAGCAAUAAUACUCCCAGUAAUGUGUCUGAGUGUAUUACAGAGCUUCGCAGCAAUAAUACUCCCAGUAAUGUGUCUCCGUGUAUAACAGAGCUCCACAGCAAUAAUACUCCCAGUAAUGUGUCUGAGUGUAUAACAGAGCUCCACAGCAAUAAUACUCCCAGUAAUGUGUCUGAGUGUAUAACAGAGCUCCACAGCAAUAAUACUCCCAGUAAUGUGUCUGAGUGUAUAACAGAGCUCCACAGCAAUAAUACUCCCAGUAAUGUCUGAGUGUAUAACAGAGCUCCACAGCAAUAAUACUCCCAGUAAUGUGUCUGAGUGUAUAACAGAGCUCCACAGCAAUAAUACUCCCAGUAAUGUGUCUGAGUGUAUAACAGAGCUCCACAGCAAUAAUACUCCCAGUAAUGUGUCUGAGUGUAUAACAGAGCUCCACAGCAAUAAUACUCCCAGUAAUGUGUCUGAGUGUAUAACAGAGCUCCACAGCAAUAAUACUCCCAGUAAUGUGUCUGAGUGUAUCACAGAGAGCUCCCAGCAGCAAUAAUACUCCCAGUAAUGUGUCUGAGUGUAUAACAGAGCUCCCAGAGCUCCACAGUAAUAAUACUCCCAGUAAUGUGUCUGAGUGUAUAACAGAGCUCCACAGCAAUAAUACUCCCAGUAAUGUGUCUGAGUGUAUAACAGAGCUCCACAGCAAUAAUACUCCCAGUAAUGUGUCUAACAGAGCUCCAGUAAUGUGUCUGAGUGUAUAACAGAGCUCCACAGUAAUAAUUCUCCCAGUAAUGUGUCUGAGUGUAUAACAGAGCUCCACAGUAAUAAUACUCCCAGUAAUGUGUCUGAGUGUAUAACAGAGCUCCACAGCAAUAAUACUCCCAGUAAUGUGUCUGAGUGUAUAACAGAGCUCCACAGCAAUAAUACUCCCAGUAAUGUGUCUGAGUGUAUAACAGAGCUCCACAGCAAUAAUACUCCCAGUAAUGUGUCUGAGUGGAUAACAGAGCCCCACAGUAAUAAUACUCCCAGUAAUGUGUCUGAGUGUAUAACAGAGCCCCACAGUAAUAAUACUCCCAGUAAUGUGUCUGAGUGUAUAACAGAGCUCCACAGCAAUAAUACUCCCAGUAAUGUGUCUGAGUGUAUAACGGAGCUCCACAGCAAUAAUACUCCCAGUAAUGUGUCUGACAGUAUAACGGAGCUUCACAGCAAUAAUACUCCCAGUAAUGUGUCUGAGUGUAUAACGGAGCUCCACAGCAAUAAUACUCCCAGUAAUGUGUCUGAGUGUAUAACGGAGCUCCACAGCAACAAUACUCCCAGUAAUGUGUCUGAGUGUAUAACGGAGCUCCACAGCAACAAUACUCCCAGUAAUGUGUCUGAGUGGAUAACGGAGCUCCACAGCAAUAAUACUCCCAGUAAUGUGUCUGAGUGGAUAACGGAGCUCCACAGCAAUAAUACUCCCAGUAAUGUGUCUGAGUGGAUAACAGAGCUCCACAGCAAUAAUACUCCCAGUAAUGUGUCUGAGUGUAUAACAGAGCUCCACAGCAAUAAUACUCCCAGUAAUGUGUCUGAGUGUAUAACAGAGCUCCACAGUAAUAAUACCCCCAGUAAUGUGUCUGAGUGUAUAACAGAGCUCCACAGCAAUAAUCCUCCCAGUAAUGUGUCUGAGUGUAUAACAGAGCUCCACAGUAAUAAUACUCCCAGUAAUGUGUCUGAGUGUAUAACAGAGCUCCACAGCAAUAAUCCUCCCAGUAAUGUGUCUGAGUGUAUAACAGAGCUCCACAGCAAUAAUACUCCCAGUAAUGCGUCUGAGUGUAUAACAGAGCUCCACAGCAAUAAUACUCCCAGUAAUGUGUCUGAGUGUAUAACUGAGCUCCACAGUAAUAAUACUCCCAGUAAUGUGUCUGAGUGUAUAACCGAGCUCCACACCAAUAAUACUCCCAGUAAUGUGUCUGAGUGUAUAACAGAGCUCCACAGCAAUAAUACUCCCAGUAAUGUGUCUGAGUGUAUAACAGAGCUCCACAGCAAUAAUACUCCCAGUGAUGUGUCUGCCUGUACAACAGAGCCCACAGCAAUAAUACUCCCAGUAAUGUGUCUGAGUGUAUAACAGAGCUCCACAGCAAUAAUACUCCCAGUAAUGUGUCUGAGUGUAUAACAGAGCUCCACAGUAAUAACACUCCCAGUAAUGUGUCUGAGUGUAUAACAGAGCUCCACAGCAAUAAUACUCCCAGUAAUGUGUUUGAGUGUAUAACAGAGCUCCACAGCAAUAAUACUCCCAGUAAUGUGUUUGAGUGUAUAACAGAGCUCCACAGCAAUAAUACUCCCAGUAAUGUGUCUGAGUGUAUAACAGAGCUCCACAGCAAUACUACUCCCAAUAAUGUGUCUGAGUGUAUCACAGAGCUCCACAGCAAUAAUACUCCCAGUAAUGUGUCUGAGUGUAUAACAGAGCUCCACAGCAAUACUACUCCCAGUAAUGUGUCUGAGUGUAUAACAGAGCUCCACAGCAAUAAUACUCCCAGUAAUGUGUCUGAGUGUAUAACAGAGCCCCACAGCAAUAAUACUCCCAGUAAUGUGUCUGAGUGUAUAACAGAGCUCCACAGCAAUAAUACUCCCAGUAAUGUGUCUGAGUGUAUAACAGAGCUCCACAGCAAUAAUACUCCCAGUAAUGUGUCUGAGUGUAUAGCAGAGCUCCACAGCAAUAAUACUCCCAGUAAUGUGUCUGAGUGUAUAACAGAGCUCCACAGUAAUAAUACUCCCAGUAAUGUGUCUUCAAAAUACAAUAACUGUGUUUAGAAAUCAUUCUGUGUAAAUAAGAUACAGUGUUCUAAAUCAUGUUUUAGUUCUAGAAAUGUAUUAGUAAGUCUUGUAAAAGCUCUCAGAACAGCCUAGCCCUUGGCAACCCCCACACAAAGUUCUAAAAUGAAAGUGUCCCUCUCUGUUUAUUUGACACAUUGGGAGGUAUAUAGAUAUAUAUAUAUAUAUACUUUAUUACUUUUGUUCUAAAUUUGUAAAACUGUCCUCAUGUUUUCACAAUUUGCUGUUUAUUGAAUCAAUGUGAGAGUGCUGUUAUCACGCUGUCCUUCAUGACCGGAUCCCACCCUUUGCAGGAGGUCUGAGAUCCAGGGGAAAUGUCAGGUGAUACGGGAGCUAAAAUGCAAAGACUGGCAUUUGGCAAAGGGCAGAUGAGGCGCUUUAACCCCUUGAGUGCUAGUGGAAGGAGCCAGGCUUUGUAAAUCACAAAUUUUAUUCACAAUUCCCUGGCAGUUUCAAAACUCAAAAACAAAUCUGAAAAAUUAAAAAUGUGUUUGUCUCAAUAAGACUUAACCCCUCACUCUUACCUUGCAGACAGGACGAUGCACAAGUUUAUUUGAUUCGUCCUCCUGGAGAGAAUCUUAAUUUUUUAUCAUACAAUUUGUAACCCAAAUCUCGUGCAGCACAGAUCUCCAUUCUCCACCCUUUCCCAUCAUGCACGCUACUAUUAAAUAAAUAGGGUGCAAAUCUGUACCCUCUGUAAUCUAUAUUGCUGCUGCCCUCUCCAGGACUUGAUAGGCCACUGGCCACUGCUUUCCAUGCAGCCUCUCUUUACAUUGAUUCUAUUACAAAUAUAUCUAGAUAUAAUGGAUGAGUUAGCAGGAGAAGUUCCUCUGGUGUUUGUCAAAUUAUUUUCAAGUAAUAUAGCAACAGUACUAUGUUUCAGUGGUUAUGGUACGUGGCGUGUUCCGGGAAAUGAAGAGAGUUCUAAAACUGGAGCUAUACUACUUUCUCUUUCCUAAUAACGGCAUUUAAUUCUGAUUUAGAACACUGACAGGGUUAUUCAUAAACAGGGUUAUUAGAAUUCAAAGUGAAUUUCAAAUUCAAGACUGAACUAUAUGCGUCGCUGUCUGAGAGUUUUUUCACUUUGAAAUUCACUUUGAAUUCUCACUUUAGUAAGUAAGCCCAGUCACAGGAUGAAAGCCUCUCUCUGUCUAUAUAUAUAUAUAGAGAGAGAGAGAGAGAGAUACAAAGUGACUGAGCGCACACUCUGCAAGGCUCUGGCAGACUGUUCUCCGUACGGCCUCCAGGGGUUUUUUAAGGACAAAGGAGAUUUGCAUACUUUGUGCACGUACUGCCAAACAGCAGAUAUAAUAAACAUGUUCUCCUUUAAGCCAAUAUAAAUAAGUUGUUUAUCAUUUUUCUAAAGAUCAGUCGAUAACCCCUGCUACAUUGGGCGCCGUUUGCAAAAAAUAUACUGUUUUAUUUAGGAUCAGACCGGAGAUUCUUUAUCUGAAUUUGUAUAAAAACAGGCACUUUCUCUGCUUCUCCUAAACCCUCCUGGGAGCAGAUUUCCUGCCUCUGAAACGCCAUUGACCUUAAAAAUAGCUACUUGCAGCAUAAACAUUCUGACUGUUUCACGUGCCGUAAAUGGUAAUUAGAGCAUAUCGUAUUGACAGUAACUUGGAAUCCAUCAUGUAGGUUAUUUUGGUGUUUUUGAUUUAAGAGGAAUAUUCAUAGUUAAAUAAAAGGUGUGUUUUAAUCUAUCACUGCAAGACACACGCAGUCCCAAUUCCAGCAGUCCCAAAGUGACAGCCCCCGCCAUUCGGAUUUUGUCCCCUGGUGUCCCGUAUCUAGGAACAGCAGUGAAAAGGCCAUUAAAUGCCCCACCCUAUCAACAGGGGGUGAGUGUGAGUGUGGCCAGGGACGGGGCUGAGAAAUUUUAGAUGCCUUAUUUACAAUUUAUCUAAACUAAAAUGUAAUUUAGAACAAUAACAAUGUAUGUUUUUUUAGAUAGAGUCAUUUCUAAACAUGUAUUGUAGUUUAAAGGGUUGCUCCAACUAAAGGGAAGUUUUCAUAAAACACUGGUUUUGGUUGUAGUAACCCUCUCUAUGGUAGUCUCCCAACACCAAAAGACGCAAAGUACCAGUUUUCCAGUACCACACCCUGGCCAAGUUCUCACUCAGCAGAUGCACUGACAGGGGAGGCCAUGCCGUAUUUGGAUGUCCUUUGUCAGAUGCCAAUUUUGCACAGAAUUCUAAGCUGGCUAUAGACGCUGGUGGAGGUAGCGUUACAUCUCCGACAGCCAAGGGUUAAUCUCUGUAUUGCACCAUUUCCUAGUGAAGAGCUGCACAUACAUAUUCCAGGCACCAUGACCACCUCAGAUUACUGACCCCUUUAACCCCUUAAGGACACAUGACAUGUGUAACAUGUCAUGAUUCCCUUUUAUUCCAGAAGUUUGGUCCUUAAGGGGUUAAACACAUAUUGCUAUUGGUAUUAUUGCUGUGGAUCUCUGAAUAUGGAGCUCCUAGAAAAGAGGUACAGAUGGAUUUGAGCAAUGUUUAAUCUGAUCAGCCAAUCCCAUUUCUUAAAUAGCUUGUCCCAAGCACCUGGUAGGUUCACAAAAUAUAAUGCGUCUCCUUAAGUGUUGCUGUUUGAAUCUGUAUCUGUCUAAGUGUAGCUGUAUAACGGUGUAUCUGUCUCUUUAAUUACAGCUUUGUAAAUAUGUAUUUUCCUCCUUAAAUGUAACUUUGUAAAAUCGUACUUGUCUCUUUAAAUGUAGCUUUGCACAUUCACACCUUGAAAAAGUGAAGAUAUUCAGUCACACCAUCUGUACAAACUGGUUUUUUUCUUCCUGGAAAUUUAGUUUCUUUACAUACUGUAAACUCAUUUGUAAAAACUGAGCACGUUUUACAGCAGGCUGAAUGUCAUUCUGUUUUAUUUAGGGGCACUAAGACACCCAAAGGGGCAGUACACACAGGAGUUACGAGAUCUUUUACUAAAGUAAGAAUUCAAAGUGAAUUUCAGAUUUAAGGCCAGAGUAGUUGAACAGAGACCAUUUUUCCUGUUUGUUUAUUUUGACCUUAAAUUUGAAAUUCACUUUGAGUUCUCAUUUAGUGAAUAAGCCAGUAAAUGGCUAAAACUGAUAGUGAGUUGGACAUGAAUCUCAAUGAUGCACGUGGGAUCAUCAUGCAAUCCAUUUAAUAGUAAUAAUUUAUACUCCAGGUUAAUAUUAACAUGGUGUUAUGUGACUAUUUUUAACCCCAUUUGUAAAAUGAUUGUCAUACUAUGCAUGUCAUAAAAAAUGGGGUUUACUAAUGCCCAUCCUUGAUGGGGUUAAACAAUGUUCUGGUUAUAAAGUAUCUGUUCCCGGGAGAUCUACGGAAUUAAUUAUUGGAACACGGUGUGACUCCUGCUGUUCUCUAUAUCACCACCUCCCUCGACACACUGUACUAAGGCUUGUAUGGCUCACACUAACGUGCUGUAUUCUAGCAAUCAGAGGAGGCAGUACUAUGAGGGCUACAACCAUCUGUAGGCAAAAUUACAUAUUUCAAAUAAAUAAAACUCCACUUUUUCUUUCUUAAAAAUAACUAUGUGGUGAUGCUGGGUUUAAUGAAUGAAUGUGUUAAAAUCGAGGGCUAGCAUAGCGAUCAGUAACAGAAAGUGUUUCCUAUGCUUCUAUUGUAAUGGUUGUCAGCUUUGCUUUCUAGGAAUCUUUCUGUCUUGCCUCAUGAAAUAUAGCUAAAAUAAGUACGGAAAAGGUUAAUAUUUUUGGCAACACCCUUUGCAUGUUAAGGGCUCCGUCAUGGAGCAAGUCCAGGUGCGCUGCAAUGUUUAGGAUUUUUUAUGAGAGAAAAAAAGCGCCUGUGGGUAAUGUAAUAUAGACCCUGAAACUAAGUCGUGUGGGUUUCUUCGAAAGCACUGUGCACCCCACUACUGCACGAGGAACACACCCUAAAAGAAAUCAUGCAUUUGUACCUCUUUAAAUUAUCUUUUUUAGGGAUUGCACAGUGAGUAAGCAACCGCCUUGCAACAUUUAGGCCAAAAUAUUCCAGUCAAACUAAUUCUCGCACACAGCUGUUUUCAGGAUUUUUCUUCUAGCUCAGCUAUAUUGACCUGAAUUUUACACGCUGGUUUUUUAACUCCUCCGUUUAACUCACUGUUUAGUGAAUAGACCCAAUUUGGUGUUAUUCAGUAAAAUGUGAACGGCAAAUUGUCAAACACAACUGGCUUGUCCAAAAAAAAAAAAAAUGACAAAUGUGCAAAUCAGGGUGCAGGAUACGAUUACUGCAACUCGCAUGCAUUAGCAGAGUGUGUCACAGAGGGGCUAAUUCACUAAACACGGAAUGUUAAUAAAUCACACUUUGAGCUAGAUUAGUCCAGUUGUGGCUAUAACUGAGCUGGAUACAUUUUCAAAGUCUCCUAUUUUUGCCCAAAUUUAGCAUUUCGUUGUUUAGUGAAUAAGCCUCUUUGUCUCCCGGGUCUGUGAUUACCGAGUGACACCCUGCCCUAAAGCAUCUAUUACAGAAAAAAAGGCGACUCUUUCUAAGAAAUAUGCUUUGCCAGAUUGGAACCUGCAGCUUUAACACUUCCUGCGGGGUGAACUUUUACGUCAUUUUUUUUUUUUUUAAAAAGAGAGAAUAUUUAACAGUUUCUGUGCUGGACUGCUUGCCUCGUUCAGAAUAUUAUAUGCAGAAAUCUCCAAAAUAUGCAGGCAGGGCUAUUUACUAAACUGAGAAUUGUUAGAAAUUCGAAUAAAUUUAAGAACAAAAUAGACUAACUGGAAGCAUAGCGGACUUUUAUUCUAAUUUCACUAUGAAAUUCGCUUUGAAUUCCUGACAAUUCUGUAGCCAUGCAGUAGAUUAAAUUGUAUCAUUCAGCUGAAGGUUAUCUAAAAUUACACGAUUAUAGUUUCAAUUCCAAAAUGUUUACAAUGUGAUUAUUAAAGCUAUCCCCUUUAAAACUACAUUCAGAGUUUUGUAAUACUUGUUUAAAACUAGCGUAUAAUGGUUAUUUUUGAACUAGCGACUGUUUUAGUUGUCAUUUGCAACCGUAGCAAUCUCUUCUCAAUAUAUCAGGAGAUCCCCUCUGUAUUUUGGAAACUUGACCAGAAAGGGUUAAGAAUUUCGGUCCCCAUGUAUGGAAAAAAAGAAAAAAUACAUUUUAUUUUUCCAGACACAGACAGGGAAAUGAAAGUGUGUGACUGACACUGUGAAAAGUUAAUGUGCAUUUUCCCCUGGUCCGUACUGCAGAAAAAGGGUUAAAAAUUAAGGCUGCGAGCCAAGCUAUUGUCAAGGCUCCUUAAUGCCAGCGAAAUGUUGGAUCGUCACCCUUGGCAGAGAUGCUGUCAGAGCUUGCCCGGCAUCUCUUAUCGUGAUGAGGAGUCGUGCUGAUCUCGGAGUGAGGCAGCUACAAAAUGUCCGCCACUCCUCCCCCGCCAUUUUGUCGACAGCAUUUCUCAAAGUGGUUAUUUAUUUAUUUAUUUUUGUGUUAGCUAUGUCUGGCUGCAUCUGUGCAGGAGAGGAUUUUAGAGAGACAGUAAACAGCCGGGUGCACCAAGAUCUUCCUGUUUUCAUUAGUCGGACGAUUUAGUUUUUCGAUCGACGGUUUGGAAAAGAGAAAAAAAAAGUUAUGGCAAGUGUAGAGAGUUUUGGACGUAAACCAACGUCUGCCUUCGGCAGGCUGACCUUGGGAUUCUGCCAUCAACUGUUCUCUCUCCUGGCAUUAAUAUGCUGCUCGAACCUGAUUUUUCAGGCUGGGUCUGUCAGCUAAGAAAUCUUUGGCCCAUGUCAGCUAAGAUAGGGUUAAUGGUUGAGUCCUACACAAUGCAGUGUCAUGGUGGCAAGCCUAUAUAUGACAUUUUGACACUUUUCCUUAAAUUUCUUUAAUUGUUUAAAUAAAUAAAUUUAUUUGUGAGGAUUAAGUGCUGUUUAGUUAACUGGGCACCCCUUCCCAACCGCCCCCUGGCCUAUUAAAUGUGGGGAUAACUCAAUUGUAAUGCAGCAACAAAAGGAUCUCCUUGCUUUUCUCCACUUCUGGGCGAUCACCUCUGCAGAUGAUCUUCCGGUCCACCAAAUGCUGCUAAUAGAUUAGCACUGGAACACAGGGCGCAUGCGCAGCAGUUGUUGCACUGCGUCAGCAAGUUUUGAAUCCAGUGCUGCUCUGUGAGAAGCACUGCUUUUUGUUUCUGGGCUGGGGUACCAAGCAAUCAGGAAGAGCAUCCUCUGUCAUCUCAGUCUGUCUAUUAUUUAGUGCCUUAGGAGUUUCGUUUUUUCCUUUAACACUUUGUGAUGCAUUUCACAUUUCAUUGACACUAUACCCCACAUCCCGAAUAUUUAUUGGAGACUGGCAUUAAGGUCAAACCAGGUCCCUAGGAAACUUCAUUUCAUCAACGUAGUAAGAAUUUGCAAACCUUUAAUCAAAUCGUUAAUGUGUAUCACAAGGUUUGCUGUAUCAGCCAGGUGUAUCCUCAGUCCUCCAGAACUGGAGUUCAAAAACGUUCAAUAGUGAGCAAACUCACUGCUUUUACUAGAUUUUUUUUUUUAGUUUCCUGGUAAAUCUUGCUGUUUUUCUGAGAUAAUUUCUUAUUUGAACAUAUUCACAAAUCUGUCUGUCUAUCUUUCAUUCUGUCUCUCUAGACAAUUUAUCAGGUUAGGGAUUCUGAAAACUCCCACCUUUUCUUUCCCAUGGAGAACUCGCAACCUAAACAGAAGGACCCCGCUAAAUGGAGGCAAGACAUUCUGUGGACUGGACUGAACUAAAGAACACUACCACGCUUCAGUAAAAGAGGAACGCCCCCAAGGAUCUGGAUCAAAUUAUAUUUUAAUGAAUAGGGCAAAAAAACAUAUCCCAUACCCCAAGAAAAGAGGAACACCCCUUAGGAUGUGAUUCAAAUUAUCGUUGAAUGAACAGGGUUAUAUAACAUAUCCCACACUCCAAAAACAGAGGAAUGCCCAAAGGAUCUGGAUCAAAUUAUCUUCUAAUAAAUAGAGCUAUAAAACAUAUAGAGCCAUAAUCCAAGAAAAGAGAAAUGGACCUGGAUGAAAUUAUCUUAUAAUGGGUACGGCUAUAUAACAUAUCCCAUACCACAAGAGGAACCCCAGGCAUAUCACACACCCAAAGAACAGAAUAACUUUCCUGAAGAUCUGGAUCAAAUUAUCUUAUGAUGGACAGGGCUAUAUAACAUAUCAUACACCACACGAACAGAGGAACGCCCCCGAGAAUCCUGAUCAAAUUAUUGUAGAUUGGAUAGGGCUAUACAACAUGUCAUACUUCCCAAGGUAAGAGGAACAGCCCCGAGAAUCUCUAUCAAAUCAGCAACAUAGGAACGUCCCAGAUCUGGAUCAAAUUAGAUAAUUAAUUUAAUAUUUUUCAAUGAUUUGAUAUUUGUGGAUAAACUUUUCAUGUGAUUCAAUUUUUUUUUAUAUAUUGACAUAUUUUUAAAUAUGAUAUCUUUCUUUAUAUUUUAAAAAGUAAUUUUAAAAUCUUAUCCAAAAAUUAUUAAAUACUAUUUUAUCCAAAAAAAUCCAAUGAUCUAAAUUAUUAAACUGAUCACCUAACACAAACACAGCAAUGCCCCUGAGGACCUGGAUCAAAUUAUUGUAGAAUUGACCCGGCUAUAUAAAACAUAUCACAUACUCAAAGAACAGUGGAACACCCCUGAGGACCUUAAUCGAAUUAUUGUAGAAUUGACAUGCCUAUAUAACAUAUCAGAUACUCAAAGAACAGUGGAACGUCCCUGAGGACCUGGAUCGAAUUAUUGUAGAAUUGACACGGCUAUAUAACAUAUCACAUACUCAAAGAACAGUGGAACGUCCCUGAGGACCUGGAUCGAAUUAUUUCAGAAUUGACCUGGCUAUAUAACAUAUCACAUACUCAAAGAACAGUGGAACGCCCCUGAGGACCUGGAUCGAAUUAUUGUAGAAUUGACAGGGCUAUAUAACAUAUCAGAUACUCAAAGAACAGUGGAACGCCCCUGAGGACCUGGAUCGAAUUAUUGUAGAAUUGACCCGGCUAUAUAACAUAUCACAUACUCAAAGAACAGUGGAACGCCCCUGAGGACCUGGAUCGAAUUAUUGUAGAAUUGACACGGCUAUAUAACAUAUCACAUACUCAAAGAACAGUGGAACGCUCCUGAGGACCUGGAUCGAAUUAUUGUAGAAUUGACACGGCUAUAUAACAUAUCACAUACUCAAAGAACAGUGGAACGCCCCUGAGGAUCUGGAUCGAAUUAUUGUAGAAUUGACAGGGCUAUAUAACAUAUCAGAUACUCAAAGAACAGUGGAACGCCCCUGAGGUCCUGGAUCGAAUUAUUGUAGAAUUGACAUGGCUAUAUAACAUAUCACAUACUCAAAGAACAGUGGAACGUCCCUGAGGACCUGGAUCGAAUUAUUUCAGAAUUGACAGGGCUAUAUAACAUAUCACAUACUCAAAGAACAGUGGAACUCCCUGAGGACCUGGAUCGAAUUAUUUCAGAAUUGACCCGGCUAUAUAACAUAUCACAUACUCAAAGAACAGUGGAACGCCCCUGAGGACCUGGAUCGAAUUAUUUCAGCUAUAUAACAUAUCACAUACUCAAAGAACAGUGGAACGUCCCUGAGGACCUGGAUCUGACAUAUAACAUAUCACAUACUCAAAGAACAGUGGAACAUCCCUGAGGACCUGGAUCGAAUUAUUUCAGAAUUGACCCGGCUAUAUAACAUAUCACAUACUCAAAGAACAGUGGAACGCCCCUGAGGACCUGGAUCGAAUUAUUGUAGAAUUGACAGGGCUAUAUAACAUAUCACAUACUCAAAGAACAGUGGAACGUCCCUGAGGACCUGGAUCGAAUUAUUGUAGAUUUGACAUGGCUAUAUAACAUAUCGCAUACUCAAAGAACAGUGGAACGUCCCUGAGGACCUGGAUCGAAUUAUUUCAGAAUUGACCCGGCUAUAUAUCAUAUCACAUACUCAAAGAACAGUGGAACGCCCCUGAGGACCUGGAUCUAAUUAUUGUAGAAUUGACACGGCUAUAUAACAUAUCACAUACUCAAAGAACAGUGGAACGCCCCUGAGGAUCUGGAUCGAAUUAUUGUAGAAUUGAUGUGGCUAUAUAACAUAUCACAUACUCAAAGAACAGUGGAAUGCCCCUGAGGUUCUGGAGCAGAAUUAUAAGCGAGUAGGUAAACCUAGAUGUAAUUUUCUUAUCCCAAAAAGAGAGGUAGGUCCCAGAGGUUCUCGGCACAGAAGCUGGUCUCUGUGGAAGGACAGUGGAGCAAAGACCCAGGUGUACAUAACUUACAUUUAUUUUAUUUGUUGAAGUACUUAUUUCAGGCUGAUAACAUUCUCUGACUUAGCUAAGUCUGUGUAAAGGCUGCUCUAGGGUGUCUGGACUGUUUUUUUUGUUUUGUUUUUUCUGUGCUCCCCUGACACACAGCAAAAAUACUCCAAUCACCUCUUCAGCAUGCCGUAGUGCUUCACGGGUUAAUUGCCUGUCCCUGCAGGCUUAUUUUCUAAAAAGAUUUUAAAUCCUACAGGCGGGAGGGUUUCCUGCCUCAUGUGCUUUGAACAAUAAUUCAAAGUGGAAGUGAGGGAAACCUGGUUGGAUUAGCGAGCAUUCUAACACCAAACCCCCUGAUUGUACCCAUUCACAUUGCGGUGCUACCCUUUCAGACAAUUCUUGGUAAACUACAAUACAGUGUAAUACAGCUUUGAUUUGCCAGUCUCAGUCAUGCGAGUCUCUCAAUGUCAAGGCUCUGAUUGGACAAUGCCCGGCGGUGGUUAUGCCGCAAAGAGUAUGUAGUUUGACAAACAAAACAAAUCUCUACCAGUGUCUACACCCUCGCCUCAGUCCUGCAGAUUGGCUAAUGCGGUAGUGAAUGUACAACAGAUGUUUUGGACUACACCUCCCAUGAUGCUUUGCCAGGAUUAUGGGUGUAAGAGCAUUAUGGGGGAUGUAGUCCACAAUAUCUGGAGUGCCGAAGGUUGCCUAUCCCUGGUCUACAUUAUUCUGUCUGAUUUUGGACAGCAGUGAUCGGCUGAGAGCUCUUGGGGUGGCACUCUCUAGAAUUGCGAGUUCUCUGCAAAUUCCUGUUUUCGUGAACAGCCCUGCCUAAUAAUGUACAUAUGUUUUUAUAAUUAUCAAGUAACCCUUGAUGUUCCAAGAUAUUAUUUUUGUGACAUUGUAUUCAUUAUUUGUUGGUUUGCUGAACAUAAACCACUUAUUAAAGUAGAUCUACUGCAGCUUUGAGCUUAAAGAACGUGUUUGUGAGGAGCCUCGCAUUUCAGAGCAUACAGCAGCCACGGGGUGUGUGCAAGAUUUAUAAAGUGCUAUAAAUAAAUCCUGGGGAAAAAAAAGUUCGAUUUUAAGGCUGAGGUCGCUUCAGGCACCUGCAAAGGGGAAUAAAAGGCCUGUAGAUUAGAAAUUAAUGGUAACAUCAAUUAGGGAAUGUAUUGACUUGAAUUUUCACUGCAGGCAGUAAGAGAAAGCUCACUUAACUCUUUGGGGGCAGUCCAGUACAAAUGAACUAACAAAUUAAAGAGAUACUGUCAUUAAAAAAAAAGAUUACUGAAAUUCCACUUGCAAAGCUUAGACCAAAAUCUGGUCAAUCAAUUUCCUCUUUUUAAAUUUAAAAUGUUGGUCAUGGGACACCGAUAUGGAGAAGAAGACAGUAUGGGAGAACCAAACCAUGUGUUAUAUCAGGAUAACUUUGAAACAUGCAGCCAUUCCUCUCAAAAAUACAGCAAAGUAUAUUGCUAUCUUUAAUAAAUAAAUCCCACUUGUGGCAAGUUCCCUUUAAUCAAAUCUAACUGCAACAUUUUCAGAUUGUAUUGUCCAAUGCUAAUGCUGGUAUCAAUUGAAUAGUGUUUUCUAAUAUUCUUCCAGGACAGUACAGUGCUGUACAGUGAAGAGGAGCCCCAGCAGACGCCAUCUCCUCCUCCCUCCCUGGACCCCCCCUCCACGACAGGCCUUCUUGCGAGCCCAACAUGCAUGCCGUGCUGUAGUAAUGCUCUGACAGCUGGACCUCGCAAGAGUUGGAGAGGACCUGCUGAGGUGGGGGGUGGGGGAGAUGGCAUCUGCUGGGUCCCCUCUUUACUGUACAUGCAGCCAGUGGCUUGGGGGUCUGCAGGGCCAUAUAUGCAUAUAGAGAGAGAGAAAUAAUUGCAAAAUAUAUGUACACAUGUGAGGUCCAGGCCCGUUACAGCUGUAUUGGCUGUACCCCACCCCCUGCCGAUGGCUACCUUGGGUUGACAAGUCUGGUUUAGGAUGUUGGGAGUAAAAAGUGUGUUAACCAACACCUGUAGUGUUUAUGGUUGAUCUUCACUACUAUCCAUAUACAACACUGAACAGUCCAGCACCCAAGGUCUGCAAUUUGCCGCUACUUUAAGAUUUAGAGAAUUAGGGGGGGGGAGGGGGGAGGAAAGACGUGUUAUCUCAAAGGUCACAAGUUUACAAACAGUCUUAAAGCAAAAGAUAAAACAGACAGCAUCUCCCUGAUGUAUUUUAUCAGCGAGAUAUGGACUGGGACGUGAUAAACAACUCUUUAGCAUCACUGACUUGCAAGGGAUUCUGGGUAACCGACACCAGUUCAGUCUGGCCGCUAUUCAUUGAAAGACAAAAGGGCAUUUUUUUAUAAAAGUGUUAUAGAACAGGUUGCAUGGUUUUUUGGGGCAUUUUCUUGGCACAAGCUAUUAAAUAUGUUGUUUUUUUCAUCUCGUUCUUCUUUUGCGCCCUAACAGCCGUUUUUGAAUAAUCAUUAUUAUUUUUUUCAGUGAAGAAAUGAAUGAAUCAAUCUGUCUGUCUAGAAACGUGUUCUGUUUCACGAGCACCCUAACAUCGGCGGUGCUUUUAUGGUAAUGGAUAUUGCUGCAAAAAAUGAAAGAAUUUAGGCAAAUGACGGAAAGAAGACAACUCUUUCUAGACCAUACUUAGAAUAGUUCAAUAACUAUUUAAAAAUUGCUUUCGGAACAUCUUGAUAAAUCCCGCGCCCCCCUCACUUUAGUAACAACUCUGCCAGUACCUAACACGUCCCUAUGCUUAGUAAGAGCUGAUCUUCCCUACACCCUGUUUGCUACAUCUGUAAUAACAUCUGCCGUGACCGGGAAAUGGCUGAGUUAUCUCAGCCAAUCCUCAUCAUUCAUUGCUUUUACUGUGAGCGCAGUGUGCGUCCAAUAAGACUCUGUGCAGUAGGGGUUUAGGGGAUAUACACACAAAAAGCCAAAUAUGCACAAUAGACCCACUUACAAGGGGGUCAUCUUGCGCCCUAGAUUUCUACAGCGGCGUAUAAAUAAAUGCCAGAUUGUUGUCUGUGUAUGAAAAAUGCUAACUUUAUUUUAAGUUAUCUGCAGUGUAUUCACUAAACUGGCUUUUAUACAAUAAGACAGCUUAUUAAUAUAAUGGAGUUAGUGAUAUUGUUUUCCAAUUCAGCUCUUUUCGGUACAUUUAUAGAACCUGCAAUUCCCUUGUCUAUUUCCUCUAAUUCCUUUUUUAAAUUAAUAACCACUCACUGAUGGUUACCAGAGAAACCCUAUAAUACCGUAGCCCUUAUAUGUAUGGUGUCCCACUCCACUCUCCAAAUACAGCCAGAUAUUUCUAGUUUUGUCUGUUGCCUCACGCUAUUCCCAUGAAAUGUGUUAAAGUGUCUGCCAGCUACUUUGUAAAUCUAUUAUCUCCAGAUAUUGCAAAUACAAGGAGCAGUUUAGAAGUGUGGGGCCCUCCGCCUUUGAUCUCCAAGGGUUGACGUUAAUGGGGGUAUAAUAUUUACCCUCUUCAUAUAUUUGAAGUGUUUGCUUGGGACGCAAGACGUACCAAUGUGUCUGCAUCACGGGGCACACACAAUACUUGCCAGGGCAGGUUAAACUUGCGUUACGAGGGCCUGGAAGCUGCUGCAGGUUAUUUUGUACCAAAUGUAUUUAUUUAAUGUAUACGUAUAUUUGUAUAUUUACACUUGGUUUGGGGGUCAGUGUAGCAUGGGCUAUAUUUUGGGAUAAGAUGUAGAGCCUGUCUGUCGUUCAAAAUGCUGUUUAUGAUGUUUGUUUUAGUGAUAGAUAGACAGACAUAUAAAUAGACAGACAGACAGACAACUAGACGGACUGAUAAAUGGAUGGAUAGGUAGAUAUAGAUAGACAGACAGACAGAUAAAUCGAUGGAUAGAUAGACAGAUGGAUUAUUAGAUAUUCAUUGACAGGCUGAUGGAUAAAUAAAUGGACAGACAGAUGGAUAGAUACAGGGACAGAUAGAUAGAUAGAUAUAAUUAGCCAUUUCAUCCAUUACCCAGGGCUGUUCUCACUGUGGUAACUAACUCUGAGAGGUAAAAUCAUUAUUAGUACCCCUAGAUUAAAACAUUCUCUCCUGACAUGAACUGCUCCCAGGCAAUCCACCAGUUCUCUGUAUAUAGACAUGAUGAACAAAUGUUGAUUUUACUGUCCGAAAAUACAGCUUUAUCUCAUGGUAUGGCAGAGUUUCUUCAUAGUAAUUCCAUAGAACUCCCUGUACGCAGGCGAUAUGGACACAGUGUCACACUACUGAUAAACCUUUUCAAUCCAAAAUUAGAUCCAUUUUCACUUGUGUUUUAACUACUGGAGUCAAGAGUUCUAAACACAAGCAAACCUGUUACUUUUGGACAUCUGUACAGAUCUAUUCAAAAAGUAAAACAAUGACUGUGGGGUUUGUGCAAUAAACAGAGAAUUGUGGGGACUUCAAAAAUGAUUUGUAAAAAGAAGUCAAGCCGGGAUAACAGCUGGAUUGCAUAAUGUUUCCAGGACAGCUAUCUGGACCUAAAAUUAACCAUUUGGAUUUUAUUAUAAUACUAGUUAUUCACUAACACGUUAAGGUUAAUCCAUACACAGUGAGUUGACACCUGCGCUCUUUACAAAAUAACCCCCAAAUAAUGUUUUAAGCAGAUCAUUGUUUAUAUCGGCUUUGAGUUAAAUAAGAAGACAUGUUUCAGUGUGUGCACCACUUCAGAGUGGUUCCAUUAAAUAUUGGGUGUGAAUACACUAUAUUGCUGGUACUGUAUUUAACCAUAACCUGGCCUUAUCACAAAGCACAACCAACCAUCCCACAUGUAUCAAUGCUCUUUUAUGUAAGUUAAGUUCCAGGCCCCAUAGCUACCCGUAGCUUCAAUUUCCAUGUCCGUUUAGAGGGCACUCUGGGCAAUAUCCUUCAAUAUUCCAAGAGUUUUAUUGUCCCUUGAUUAAUUGAAUUGUAUUUUUCUGAGAUAUAUUAUCUAUUCCAUGAAGUGGCUGAAUGUUCUGAGAAGUGGCUAAAAUCAUUCAAGCGUGAGUGUUGUGAGAGUCUUUGAGACAUUAAUGAUAAUCAAAAUAUGUGUUUUUGUGUCCGUGGCGUCGUGCCCAGCUCUGAUUCAUUGUGUAGACCCUCUUUGAAGCCAUAAAAAUAGACUUGUCAUUUUUAUUUUGCAUGUUUUUAUAUUCCGAAUGUGACUGCAUGUUGUUUCACUUAUUGGUUUUUUCUUCAUUAUUUUUCCAAUUUCAUAGCUAUUACAUCAUUUGUGUGGUGUAAAUGUGGGGGUUACUUAAAAACAUGGGCUUUAUUUCCCAGUAGCACAGACCAUUAUUUUAUUGAUGUGAGAUCACGCUGAGGUCAGCUUCUCUCAGGUUAUUUGUAGAAAUAAUGUUAUAAGGAAUUUCAUUAUAUAUAAAUAGCAUAAAAUAAGAGAAUAUCAAUAUAUUGCUAUACAAAUAUACACAUAUACAUGUAUACAAUACACACACAUAUGUAUUUAUAUGUAUGCACACUUAUACAUACAUCCACCAAUACAUAUACCUAAAUAUGUACAAAUGUGCUCACACAUAUAUAAACCCGUAUAUAUGCAUAUUCACACAUAAGUAUACACACAUUCGCAUACAUAUACACAAACACACACAUAUAUUUUUACACACAUAUGCACAUAGAAAUGCAUACCCAUAUAUAUACACCUACAUGCAUUUGAAUGUGAGAAGGCAUGUGUCUGUACAUAGUACUUUAUAUAUCGCUAUAAUAAACAUGGCAUUAGAUUGCAUCUUCACAUGUGGAUACAUAUGACAGAACAGUGAGAUAAUGAUUGGGGGGGCGUUCAUGUAAAAUGUUGGUAGUGAGACAGGGAACCCAAAUUAACAUUUAGUCUUGGUAUUUCUAAAUUCCCUCUCAGUACUUCGAUUUGUGGGUCCUCCAUUGAGUGGCCAAGCUGGGUAAAGUGGUGUCCCACAGGAGUGCAGUACGAUUCUUCUUUGUGGUGUUUAAUGGAGUGUCUGUGCAUAUUCAUUGUGGGAUUUAAAUGCUGGGUGGUUUCCCCAAUGUAGCAUCCUAGGUGGCAUUGGGUGCAUUGAAUCAUGUAUACCACAUUGCUGGAUGUGCAGGUCCCUAAAUGACUCUGAUUUGUGCUGUGUUGAGUAUGAGGAUCCUUUAAUGCUGUAGGUUUCAUUGUUGUGGGUGGCUGUGUUGUCUGUGUAUAUGCGUCGGCACAGUUUGCAGCCAGGUUUUAUCACUGUCUGUUCUUUUUUGCUUUUUUUUUUUUCCCACUAGCUUCCUGUUGAUUAAUUUUUGCAGAAGAUUUGGUGGUUGUCUAAAAGUCAAAAUGGGGGAUUCAGAGAAAAUGUUUUUCAGAGUUUCAUCUUCUGCUAGCAUUAGUUUAGAUUACCUUUAAUCAUUUUCCAUAUUUCUUUGAGAGCUGGGUUUUAGGUGACCACAAGUGGUACGCGUACAACCCAGCUCUCAAAGAAAUAUGGAAAAUUAUUAAAGAUAAUUAUUACAUUAUCACAUUAUUUUGUUUAGCUCCAUGUUUUUGUUUCUAUUAUAAUUUUUAUACAAUAAAUAAGCAACUACGAGGAUUAUCCCUGUUCAUUUCAUUGGAUAUUCUCAGUAUCGCAAUAGAUUCCUCAUUUUUCAUUCUCUUGAUCUAUUCUCCAGGUUCCCAAGUUUUGUGGAUGUCACGUUGGAAUUGGGUAGUCGAGCCUAGAAGCAUAAUGAGAGGAUGCACCGAGACACGGUCCCUUCCAAGCCCUCUCUUCUGGCUUUCAGCCAAACUGGAAGGUUACUAGGAGGUUACCCUGUCUGACGUUCUCUGAAAUACCCAUCGCUUGCUACGAGGGCUGCCAGCAAUCUUGUAAGUGUAACACUAAUCUCAUUAAUAUGACCUCCCGAUAUAUACGUACACCUGUUACAUUAGCUGUUUGUACAGUCCCUGUUUCCUAUUUUAAACACUUUGAGUAGCAGUCUACAUUCCUCUCUGUCUACAGUUGGUCUCACUGUGUUUUCUAUAGCACAUUAUAUGUGAAUCCAUCCAGGGAACUUGGCAAGGGCUGCAUAAACUAGCCCCCUACCAGAUGUCCGACUCUACGAAGACUGGUUUGAACUUUGCACUUACCAGCUCAGGUUUGGAAAAGAUCUUUAUAAAUGUCCCAUUUUAUGUGCUAUUAAAAAUCAGAGUUUUGAGAAGUAGGUAUUGCAAGCCCUGAAUUUGAACGUUUAUUCUCUGUAAAUUUCUUACCUGGAUGAGUUUAAUUAUUUUUCUUUUUUUUACCUUUGCCAGUUUUACUAACUCUCCCUAACCUUCCCCUGAGAAUAUUGUAUAUGCUUAUAUACUUUUUAUAGUUAAAAUACUGUUAGUACACUGAACGAGCAAUUGUUCUGCUAAUUAUCUCCACUUCUUUUAGAUUGUAAGCUCUUUUGAUCCCAGCUCUUGACACCUCUUCUCAAACUUGUUUUGUCUCAAUUACAUGUAUGUGUGUUGACCCAGCCUACAUUGCUGUGGUGUAUGUUUGUGCUACAAAUAAUAAUGACAAUAAUAAUUUUCCAAUGUUACAUUAAAGCCCAUAUGGGAGUUGGGUUUAUUAUUUUUAUAGUCCAGCAUGUGUUUAUGUAACAGGACGCUAAUCUGUGUCUGUACUGGUUUACAGAGUGUGCCGUGCAGAUCCCAAGCACUUUGUUCAGUGAAACCGACUUUAAAUCUCCAACAGGUGCCCAUCGCAUAGCUCGGCUAUAGACAUGCUAAUUGGUGCAACUGUAAGAGAUACCACCAAACCCGUCUCAGGUUCACCUGUUAAUACAGCUAUUUAGAAUUUCAUGCUAAUCUUCAAGCCAUGAGUUAUUUGACUUGUUUGACACACUGUGUGACUGUUUUAUGAACUGUGUGCCCUCGAUCCCAGCUUGCCGUAUAGCACUGAAACUAGGACCGAAUCAGAGCAGGUUUCUUUUAUCUUGGAUUUAGAACCCAAUAACGGAGGGUUCCUAACCUCCACCCCGCUGGCACGUUACUUUGGUCUGCUGUUUGACUCUGACCUGUCCUUCACUUCUUACAUAAAUUCUGUCACCAAAUCCUGUCAAUUUUACCUUAAAAAUAGUUCUUGCACUUGCCCCUUUCUCACUAAGGAUGCAACUAAGACACUCGUCCAUGCUCUCAUUAUUUCUCACAUGGAUUAUUUAAACCCUCUGCUUGUUGGACUGAAGAAUACCCGGAUUGCAUCUGUACAGUGUAAUGAACAUCUCUGCUAGGCCCAUUAAUCUUACCUCCAGUAACUCUCUAUCUUCAUCUGUCUGUCAGUCUCUUUACUGGCUUCCUGUUUUAUUUAAGAUUCUGUUCAAAGUUCUCGUACUUGCUUACAAAGCUCUCCAUAACCAUGCACCUGCUUACAUGUCCUCCCUUAUUAGCAGAUAUACUCCAGCUUGGCCUCUUUGCACCGCCGACGAACUGUUAUUUUCCGUUUUUCGAAACCCGCACACCAGCCUUUCGCCUGCAGGACUUCUCCAGAGCUGCCCCUUCCUUUUGUAUUGCCCUCCCAUGGGACAACCGACUCUCACCGUCUCCCUGUCUUUAAAAAUCCCUAAAAACACACUUCUUUAGAGUAGCCUAUCAUCCCACCUCUUAACUCCUCAUCCCUUACAACCUUCCUCUGCUGCCUCCCAUGUACUGUGCCCUUUCCUCCCAAGCACCUCUCCAAUCAAGCCUCCCAACAAUCCCGAUUUUGUCAGGACAGUCCUGAUCUGCCGUACUGACUUUGUUCCCUGGUGUCCAUCUUUUUGAAAGCACAAUAAACAGGCUUACUCUCCACAUUUAGGGCACUAGGUCCCUGCAGAGAGCACAGAAACAGUGCUCUCUGCAUGACCGUCCCUCAGUUGGCCAGCCUGCUUGAUUGGCAGGCCGCCUGCCGUGCAUUCACUCCAGUCUCACCUGCCCUUUCUGGGUAGGUCCGCUCCCUCUAUGUGGAGCGAGUGACAUGAUAUCUUUGUAUUUGUCCCUCAUCCUUUUAGAUUGUAAGCUAGUUUGGACAGGGCCAUCUCCACCUACUGGACCCAUAUGUUUUGCUAGAUUACCGGUAUCUUGUUUUACCUAUUGUAUUGCACUGUUGAAUGUGUUUGCCCUAAAUAAAUAAUUGUAAUUGGUAUCAGAGGGAAAACAUAAUCUGUUCUCCCAAUGGUCAGAUUUUAUGAAAAAGAAGACACAUUUUUGGGAAAAGGUGGUGAAAAUAUUAUUAUUGUGUUCUUCAAUGGUCAGUCUAAAUUUUGUAGUAUGUUCGCUAUACCAUGGGACUGAUUCUCUAAACAUCGAAUUGUAGCAACUUGAAAACAGAACUCAACAUUUAAGAAAAAAUUGUGGACUUCAAAAUCUUCAACAACUCUACUUUAGUCAGAGCUGAAGUGAUUUUAUAUUUUGGGUUUCUAUUUUUAGUUCAGUAUAGUUCAUUGUUUAGUGACUAAGCUACAAAGAGCUGUGGUUGUGGUGCCAACUGAUUUGCAAGAACCCAAUUAGCCGGGUUGGUGAAUUUUUCCUUCUUCAUUAUUAUGGGUAAGACUCCCUUCCUACCUCAUUAUGAAGCCUACAAUCUCUGUUCGUUAAAAUUACAUGGACUUCAGACAUGUCAUAACUUUAAAUAUUUUACGCACUCGUGUUAACAGCAAGGCGUCGUGUCAGCGAUUAUUGAGAAGUGUAGCGUACAGUUUAAUCAGAACAUUUUUAUGAAGACUUUGACUGAAUAUGAUGGUCUGAACUAUUUUCUUAAUUUACGAAAAAACUUAUUUUUUUCAAAAAAGUGUCAAUUGGACUGAGUGUCCCUUUAAUAACUGCAGACUUCUCGCCAUUUGUAAAGCUACCUUCAGUGAUACAGAGUAAAAAGAGUUCUUAAUAAAUUAAUAAAAUCUGCUCAAGGCUUUAUUCCCCUGCGAAUUGUGAUUUGACUUCCACAAUUAUCCAUACUGGAAAAACAACUAAAUUGGAGAAGUGUUUUUAGCUUUUAGGCUGAAUUUUGAAGUUAAAUUCUUUAGUCACUGUUUAGUGAAUAGGACCCUACAUGACUCUAGUUUGUGCUGUGGUGAGUAUGAGUGAUAAGUAAAAUCUAUUGACACCUAUGGCUCUCGCUAACAGUGUCAGUGCUAUUAAUUUGGUUUGGUUAUAGUAGCAGGGCAUGGAAUUCUGGGAGCGUGGGUUUAAUUCCUCUUGUGGUUUCCUGACCUCUGACCCAGAAGUAUCUCCUGGGCCCGUUUAAAGUGAGCGUACUAUUUAAACUGUCAGUGCGUGCUGUCUGCGUCCUCGUGUUUGAUUCGGAAGGUCUGGGGAUUUUUGGUGACAUGUCUUAGGGCCGCAGGGAGAGUCUAGUCUUUCCAACCUAAGGUAGGUCUCUGGCCGGCUGUCUGUUUAUAAAUAACCGACAUGUUAACUUACAACAUGCACCUUUUAACCCUGUCACAGCCAAUACAACACGUCACCAUGUUUCUCUGGCUUCAAAUGGAAAAUUCUAAAGUAGAUCUGUUAAUUUGCUGUUACCUACACUUGUCAACAUUGCAAUUAAAGCAGCGUUGCCCCAUGUUGGGUUUAAAUCCCCUCCUGUUCCUAACGUCACAUGCCAUCUUGUACGUUAGUGCCAAGAGAAAGGAGGACGUGAUCUUGUCUGUCAGUGCCUUCAUCUUCCAGUACAGCAAUGUCUUCAGUCCCUGGAGGAGGCACGUUGCUGCUAUACUUAUGUUUGUGCAUCCAGAAUGGACGCCUGUAGAAGAUUCCACAAGACGGCAGAUCUUCCGAUGAUCAACAUGUGCGCAGUGAGAGGCCAAACACAUGUAUUUCACAACACAUGAGAAUAAAUAACUUUUUAUAUCGUGACUUGCGAGAUGUGGCAGACAGACAUUGUUUAAAGCAUUGGGUUUAGGCAGCAGUGUGUGCAGAGAUAGAAUGUGGGGGAGUGGUUUCGGACAGCGGUGUGUGCAGUGAUAGAAUGUGGGGGAGUGGUUUCAGACAGCGGUGUGUGCAGUGAUAGAAUGUGGGGGAGUGGUUUCAGACAGCGGUGUGCAGUGAUAGAAUGUGGGGGAGUAGUUUCAGACAGCAGUGUGUGCAGCGAUAGAAUGUGGGGGGAGUGGUUUCAGACAGCAGUGUGUGCAGUGAUAGAAUGUGGGGUGGAUGUUUCAGACAGCAGUGAUAGAAUGUGGGGGAGUGGUUUCAGACAGCGGUGUGUGCAGUGAUAGAAAGUGGGGGAGUGGUUUCAGACAGCGGUGUGUGCAGUGAUAGAAUGUGGGGGAGUGGUUUCAGACAGCGGUGUGUGCAGUGAUAGAAUGUGGGGGAGUGGUUCGAACGGCGGUGUGUGCAGUGAUAGAAUGUGGGGAGUGGUUUCAGACAGCUGUAUUAUUGCAGUAUUAGAAUGUGAAGUGGUUUCAGACAGUGGUGUGUGCAGUAUUGAUAGAAUGUAGAGGUAGUUUCAGACAGCGGUGUGUGCAGUGAUAGGAAUGUGGGGGUGGUUUCAGACAGCGGUGUGUGCAGUGAUAGAAUGUGGGGGAGUGGUUUCAGACAGCAGUGUGUGCAGUGAUAGAAUGUGGGGUGGAUGUUUCAGACAGCAGUGAUAGAAAGUGGGGAAGUGGUUUCAGACAGCUGUGUGUGCAGCGAUAGAAUGUGGGGGGAGUGGUUUCAGACAGCAGUGUGUGCAGUGAUAGAAAUGCAGAAGUGGUUUCGGAGCAGCAGUAUUGCAGUGAUAGGAAUGUGGGAGUGAACGAACAGCUGUGUACAGCGAUAGAAUGUAGGGGAUAGUGGUUUCAGACAGCAGUGUAUUGCAGUGAUAGAAUGUGGGGGAGUGGUUUCACACAGCAGUGUGUGCAGUGAUAGAAUGUGGGGGAGUGGUUUCAGACAGCGGUGUGUGCAGUGAUAGAAUGUGGGGGAGUGGUUUCACACAGCAGUGUGUGCAGUGAUAGAAUGUGGGGGAGUGGUUUCAGACAGCAGUGAUAGAAUGUGGGGGAGUGGUUAUGUGGGGGAGUGGUUUCAGACAGCGGUGUGUGCAGUGAUAGAAAGUGGGGGAGUGGUUUCAGACAGCGGUGUGUGCAGUGAUAGAAUGUGGGGGAGUGGUUUCAGACAGCAGUGUGUGCAGUGAUAGAAUGUGGGGGAGUAGUUUCAGACAGCAGUGUGUGCAGCGAUAGAAUGUGGGGGGAGUGGUUUCAGACAGCAGUGUGUGCAGUGAUAGAAUGUGGGGUGGAUGUUUCAGACAGCAGUGAUAGAAUGUGGGGGAGUGGUUUCAGACAGCGGUGUGUGCAGUGAUAGAAAGUGGGGGAGUGGUUUCAGACAGCGGUGUGUGCAGUGAUAGAAUGUGGGGGAGUGGUUUCAGACAGCAGUGUGUGCAGUGAUAGAAUGUGGGGUGGAUGUUUCAGACAGCAGUGAUAGAAAGUGGGGAAGUGGUUUCAGACAGCUGUGUGUGCAGCGAUAGAAUGUGGGGGGAGUGGUUUCAGACAGCAGUGUGUGCAGUGAUAGAAUGUGGGGGAGUGGUUUCAGACAGCGGUGUGUGCAGUGAUAGAAUGUGGGGGGUGGUUUCAGACAGCAGUGUGUGCAGUGAUAGAAUGUGGGGGGGGGGUUGUUUAGACAGCUCUGUGCUGGUUUACAGAAACAGAUUUUAGAAUGUGAUUAGAGUAUUUUAACAACCUUUUCUCUGAGUUGUAGUGCUGUGAAAUCGAUGGCUGGCAGGGGAUUAGGGGGAUGUAGUCCAACAUGUUUGGGUAAAGGGGAGAGGUGCGCAGUGUGGGAAUUGGCACCAGGUUCUACAGGGACAAGCUGCAGGGGACAGUGUGACGGGGCGAAUAAUAAAAUAGCCACCAGCCUCGAUAUUGCUGAAUCAGCCGCCACAUUGGUUUUCCAGAUCUGUGUGCAGCUGUUUGACCUACUGAGACAAGCUGUUCUUUAAUCUGCCGCCGGUGGGGGAAGAUCCAGUCACUAAGAAAUCAUUGUGGUUUGGUCACCAAGUCCUAACACUAGACCAGCUCUCGAUUGGAAUUCCAAAAUAUUACCCUUUGAUGAUCAAGUAGCUUUUGUCUGGAGAUACAGAGGCCGCAGCUGUCCCAGGCAGCACUCUCAAAAUCUCCCUGAAAAUAGUUUGAGGGUCAAGAAGUCGUUCUGUAGAGAACAUAUUGGGGAUAGGGGUUAAAUCUCACAUAUUUUACCCGAUUUCAAAGCUGCAAAUAUAAUUUAUUAAGCAAUUCUAUUUUGUACAUUAGUUUAAUAUUUUUAGAAACCUUAUUUUGCGAAGUUAAGUAGCAAAAAGAAAAAAAAAUGUCUUGAUUAAAAUGUAUCAUAGUUGACAAAUGAAGGAUAAGACAGGUUAUUGCAGAUUUUCCCAUAUAAGGAUAGUGACCUUGAUUUAAUAUAUUUGGAAAAGCUCUUCAAAUGAACUAAUAUUUUGAAAAAUAUUUUAAUGUUUUGCUAUAUUGAUAUAUUUUUUUGAUAUUUUAAUAUUAAAAAAAAGUUUUAAAAGUUUAUCCAAAAAUUUGAAAAAGUAUAAAAAAAAUAUUAAACUGAAGCCAGUAUUUGCAAACGCAACCCUGUCUCUACACAGCAAUAUCAAAGUACAUUAUAAACAAAAUUAAAAUCUCAAUGAUUUUCUUACUUUCCUACUACAUUUCCAAGCUGAGAUAUAUUGCCAACAUAUUCUCCAGCGUUUUACAUUCGGAUAUAUUUUACAGAAAGUAAAUGACAGACAAAAUGUUUUUAACAGAUACAAGAAAUUAAGAGAGCCUUGCUCAAAGGAGCUAACUAUCUAGGAGAUUAACAGGUGCAAUUCUCCAGAAUGUUGCAUGCAAUUAAUCCAGGAAGCGGCUAUUAUUGCAGCCAAUCCCAUUCCCUGGUGUCCGGUUGUGGGUAUACGCCCACAAACAUUUAUUUGAAUGGUAGCCCUAAUUUAUUCCUACUAGGAUAUAAUGACGAUAGACCCUCUAACUCAAGUGGAUCAUGCGGGCAGCCCUCUUUUAUUCUCUGUGGCCUACAUCUGGUAACACUAGCGAAAGUCCAUAAAAUCACCUUUACGAGGUUACUUCUCACUGUGUGUCUCCAUAUUGCCUUCUUGCUUCCAUACCUCCAAUGUUGGUUGGAUCUCGCUUUAAGAAAGUGGACAAAGUGAACGUGGUUGGAGGAAAAAGAAAACCGUUUGGUACCGUGACAUAUUAAAUGAAACAUACAUUCUGUCCACAGUGCGCUUGACAUGUUACGUAGUAAUCUAGGUUGAAAAAUGUCUCCGCCAUCAAGCCUUCUCCACAUCUGUUAAUGCUUUUCUUCCAAAAGAAAGCUAAAACCUCCAAUAUGUAAUGAUUAUUUAUCCUUGUAACAAAAACGUAGAACAGCAGAAAUAUAGUCGAUAAAAGAAACCGCCGUCCGCCUAAGCAGCGAAGCCCUCCUGUACACUUCCUCGGCAGCUGACACUUUGCAGGUAGCUGAUGUGGUGAGUUCCAGCGUCUCUAAGCUGUGACCUUGUGGACGGCUACACAAUCCCUUGUAAAACAGUCUCUCUGAUCUUGCUCGCUAAUCCAUCAUCCCUUUAAUAGUGUUACCAAUUGAUCAGGAAUGCAGAUCUAUGUGGUAUACCACACACGUGGCACCCAUCCUCAAACUGUCACUGGAAUUGGAGAGAGAAAGGAAAAGCAAACCGCGGAAUGUUUUCUGUCUUUUAACCACUUCACUGGCCGUCUGUAGGAUUUAUUGGGAUUUAAACGGCCAAUCUGUACAUAGGUCACAUGGUCCUGUGACAUCCUAAACUAGCUAAUUGUUGUUAUUAUUAUUUAUAUAGUGCCAGUAAAUUCCGUAGCGCUGCUCAAUGGGAUCCGGGGAGGUGUUUCAACUGGGUCUGUUGCUCACCGAUGUGCGAAAUAUUAUAAAUCAACUUUAAUCCAUACAUUAAUUUAUAUAACGAUAGUAAUUUGCGUUUUGGAUGGAACUUUUCAUUGGUUGUAUUCCGUGCUUUUAUUUUGUAAGCUAGCAAUGGAAUAAUUCUGAUGGUUUUUACACUGGGUUGGGAAACAGAUUGUAAUAUUGCUCACCCUCGGUGAUAAUUGUUAUAUGGUCUUUACAAAGGGAGAGAUGAUAGGUUAACAGACCCAAAACACGGAGCUUCUAGCAAACAAGAUGAUGAAUUGGCCUCUAGACUUACCGCACAAUGAAGUCACUAGAUGUGUGAAUAUAUAUUUCUUUGAGGAUGGAAUUUUACUUUUAACCCAUUCAUGACAGAUAAUGUGCCAGGGUCUCAGCCCCCGUGAAGAGGUUAAUGCAUCUGAACCUGGUCCUCUUCACUUUAGGUAUCUGUCAUCAUUAUGUCUGUAAAAUCGCUAGCUGAUUGCUCGCUGCGUCAUUGUAAAAUGCCGUUCGAUACGCCAGCGCUGUAUAAAAUGUUAAUAAUAAUUUCAUUCUAUGGAAAGCCACCGUGCCAUUUCUAGGUAGUCUAUAUAGUGUCGUGUUUAUAUUCACCAAAUGGUUCUAGAAAAGGUCAGUAUGGCGAAUUCUUUCUAAUCCAGCUUUGAAAAUAUCGCUGACUGUAACAGUAACUGUACCCUAAGUAUCUGACCCUUUACCCUAAAAACCUGAUAAUCUGACCCUUCACCCUGAGAAUCCGGCCAUGUACCCUGAAACCCAGCGAAUCGGACCAUUCACUCUGAGAAUCUGGCCAUUUAUCCUAAAACCCUGAGAAGUUGACCCUUUGCCCUCAGAAUCUUUCAUCAAAAUACUUUCUAUAUUAAAGACCGACUGUGCGUUUUUAUAAUGGUUCUGCAAACUUUGAUUAUUUUUGGUUAGAUGUUUAACCUUUUCUGUAUCAGAAAUAGUUGCAGUUACUGGCUUGUGUUCUGAGAAUUAUGGGAAUUGUAGUUCAGCAACAGCUGAUGUGCCCUCUUCUGCAUCCUCUCCCCCCUUACCCUUGUUUCUCUCUAUGUCUCACCCUCUCUCCCUUCUAUCCUCAAGCCCCUCAUUACUCCCUACUGUCCUCCACCCCCUUACCCUUAUGUCUUCCUUCGGCCCUCCAGCCUUUUUUACCCUCACCUCUCACCCUCUCCAGUUAGUGCCGUUACAAGUCGUGUCUAUAUUUGCUGCUGUCAGCUACCUCUUGUCCUAGUGUCUCUCGCUGUCUCUUUCCCUCUCUUACUUAUCUUUCCCUCCUCCCCUCCACUCCUACUGACCCUUGUCUCUCCUUAUCCUGCCCUUCACCGCCCCACCUCCCCCCACCCGUGUCUUCCUCUUGUGCACUCCACUCCAUCUUAACCCUUAACUCAUCUGCCUGCUCUCCACCUAACUUACCCUUGGCUAUAACUCUUUAAUUCCUACCUUCCACUCACUUUUACCCUAGUCUCUUCAUCUAGCCGUCCACUCCGUUUCUUACCCUCAUGUCUCCCUGUCCACAUUAUACCGUCCCCCCUACCCUUAUAUCUCCCUGUUCACAAAAUACCCUCCCCCUUACCAUCAUACCUCCCUGUCCACAUAAUACCCUCCCCUCCUUACCCUUAUAUCUCCCUGUCUACAUUACCCUCCUCCCCUUACCCUCAUAUCUCCUUGUCCACAUUAUACCCUCCCCCCUUAUUCUCAAAUCUUCCUGUCCAUAUAAUACCCUCCCCCCUUACCCUCAUAUCUUCCUGUCCACAUUAUACCCUCCCCCUUACCCUCAUAUCUCCCUGUCCACAAAAUAUCCUCCCCCAUUACCCACAUAUCUCCACAUAAUGCCAUAUCCCCCUUACCCUGUGCACAUAAUACCCUCCCCCUCUCCUACCCUCAUAUCUCCCUGUGCACAUAAUACCCUCCCCCUCUCCUACCUUCAUAUCUCCCUGUCCACAUAAUACCCCCUCUCCCUAAUGCCCCCAGUCCUCUUACCCUCAUCUGUAGCUGUUCACAUGAUACCCUCCCCCUCCAGUUAUCGUUAUCUCUCCGCAUCCCACUCCUGCCAUUCCUUCCCCUAUUAUUUCACACCCUGUCUGUUACCCUAGUUUGUCGUCCUCUUGCCCUCCACCCUCUCUUACCCCGUCUCUCCCUCUCUCCACCUUCUUAUCUCCCUGACAUUUCUUCUUCCUGCCCCCCUUCCACUGACUCUCAGAGGGGUGUGCCUGGCCACAAAAUGUGCUGUGCCUCUCGAGGCCAUGCUUUAUAGCCGAUUGGCUAAUCUGAAGAAAGGGUGUGGCCAUCUCCCCCAUGACAUCAGCGUCGGCACACAGACAGGGAGCUCUUAUAUUGGAUUGUGUCAAUGUAUGUAUGUAUAUAUGUAUGUAUAUAAAAUCCUUCCCAGAAUAUACUCAGAUUAUAGAAUGUAGGUAGCCACGUUUUAUAUUGACUUGCCAAAGGAAAUACUGCCCGCCUCUGCAUACAAAGAGUUGUAAAGAGUUAAAUGCGUCUGCUCUUUGCUGACGGCUGCUUUGACUACUCCGUAGCGCCUUGCAUUUACAUGAUGGUGUUUUGACUGACCCCUAGUGGUCAUAUAUGGGAAGUACACUACUAUUUUAGACAAGUAUAUGAUCUAUUAAGCAGUAUGUGCAGUAAAUCAACAGUGACCCCCUUCUCCUGGCUGGAAGUGUAGUAUCUGAAAAAGCUGUAUGUAAUAUAUAUGAUAACUCUGAAGUGUUUGCCAACAGUUACCAUCUAUUCAUAAUUCAGUCAGUCAAUGAAAAAGUUAUGUAAGGUGAGAAUUAUGGAUUGAAGUUCAGUGGUGUGAGAUGGAUCUUAGUAAAGACCCGGAUCAGGUCUCUAAACCCAAAAUUAUCAGUGCUCUAUGCAACCUUCCUUGUUGCCCCAGGUGAAUGUUGCCCAGCGGCAUGGUUCUUGCUAGUAUUUAGCCUGUUAUAAAGUCAGAGUCUGGUUAAGGAUGGUGGAUGCUGUAAAUUAUCAGUAAAUUAAGUGUGGUAGAUUGUCUACUCCCCAUAGGGGAACAAAAGGUUCCACUAUCCAUUCAUGAUGUCUGUCAUUGACAUUGUUUGGUGGAAUGGGCAGAGUAAUUCCGUGCUUGUUUGGAUCAUACUCAUUGUUUCGAACUUUCCCUACAAUUGACCAGUCAACAAACUUGACAGAUCCAUGGUGUGAAUCACUUUUCUCAUUCUGAGUUUGUAUUAUUUUAAUAAUUAUUUUUCUUUACUGUUCAGCUGAGAUAGUGGUGAUUGGAUAUGCAGCAAAGAUCCAAUGUUAUCUUCUCUCCUGUAUGAGUAAGAGCUGUGUUUUCAUAAACGGGUACCAUCGAAACGCUGACCGCAGUUAUUUUGCCUUUUUUUGCGUAAGGGGAGUUAUUUUAAUCUAGGACAAAACGAAGCCAGUAAAAGACACAAUUACUCGAUCAGUUGUAAGGGUUAUACAGUUUAACCUUAAUACACAUUCAAAGGGCUGAAAACAACCGGGUAGACGGGGUGGUAUUACUCCACAUCCAGCCACCAUACCUCGUUUUUAAAAGGUAACAAACAAAUCUUAGAUAAUUGUAAUUUUAAUGGAAAAUAGAUUUUUACAAAAAAUUUUGUGACAAUUUUUAUUAUUUUUCAGUCUUUCAAAAACAACAGGGAACAGGGCACAGAAGGGAAAAGGGGAGAGAGGGAGGGGGGAAGUAAAUAUUGUCAAAAUGACAAUGGUAAUGACAAAUACCAUUAAGCCAGUGAUCACAUAUUUCCAGAGCAUACAUUGACAGUUGGACCACGGUGAUACAUUUACAACACGACUUUAGCAUCAUAGUUGUUACAGAUUCCCCUAUUUGGGGUGCACCAAUCUCCAUGCGUCCCAAGUUGUUAAGGCUACCCUUGAGGGUGGGCAGAUAUUAUUAAAACAUUGUUCGUAUAUCCUCUGGUUAUCUGGCUCAGAUUGUAUGGUCGACACAGAGGGAGUACGCUGGGAUUUCCAAGCUCGUGCUGUUAGAGCAAUAUAGUAUAUAAUUUUUUGUGCGUGUUUAGGCACUUCAGAUGGUAGGUGCAGUAGAAGGUACGUGAGUGGGUUAUGGGGCAGCGUAAUUUCUUGUAUAAGAACUUGUGUAGAGUCCCAGAAGGGCUGGAUCAGUUACAUCUCCAGCAAGUCGAAGACCUGAUGAGGAAUCAUUUAUGGAUUCUCUCAGGCACCAUAUACCAUCGGUAUACCAUUUUCCGCUGUGGCUUCAAUAGGGUAGCGGAUUUGAUCUUAGGGGUAUCAAAUAUUUUGUCCCACUUCUUCUGCAUGAUUUCGCAUGCCAAGUCACUAGACCAGUGCCUUGCGGGUGCAGCUUUUGAGAAUGGUAGCUAUUCCAACAGCAGCCUGUAGCACAUGGAGAUUCUUUUACAUGAUUAUUGACAUUUUAAUCGCAACUAUCCUAUCUAUCCAUGUCAGAAAGAGCAAGCCCCAUCUUGCCAGGAUUAGUUUGCAGUCAUUCCAAACCCUAAUAUAGUUUCCCAUAUAAAGAUCUUUGGCUUUCCAAAUAUUUUACACUAUCUCUUCUCCAUUCGAAGGUGUAAGUCCUUCGCAGGCUAUCCAUCACUGAGGAGGGGAGUCCUAGUCCUAAAGCUUGCAGCUUUAUGGUAUUUAGAGAGUCGUACGAGUGUAGACCAUAUUCUCCUAUUAGCCUCUUAAGAGGAGAGAGAGACUCCAAGGGGUCAGAAAUAUAUAGUAGUAUAUCAUCCGUGAACUCGCUGAUUUUAUGUUCAGUGCCACUCAAUUUUAUACCAUGAAUGGACGUGUGUUCCCUGAUGGCACAGAGGAGGGGCUCUAGGGCGAGGACAUACAGAAGGGAGGACAGUGGGCAAUCCUGUCUUGUUAGUGAUGGUAAAGGGGCUGGAUAGGAAUCCCGCCUGCAUUACUUGAGCCGUCGGAUCAGAGUAUAAGGCAAAAGUUUGUUUAACUAGUUGUGGAGGGAACCCAUAGGUGUGCAGUGUCUUCCUCAGGAAGGGCCAGCCGAGGUGGUCAAAAGCUUUUUCUGCAUCUAACGCCUGUCAUCAAAUUGUUUUCAUAUCUUAAUAUCAUUUUUAUGUUGUAAUAUAUCAUCUCAUUAUUUUUUUAUUUCAUGUAAAUUGCCAUUUUUAUAGAAAUCCCUUGAGUAUGGAAUCUCUGCUGUCUGACCCAAUGGCCACUAUAUUGCAACCGUCCUUUUUUUCAAAUAUGUGUUUUCAGCGUUGCAGAAUUUCUGCCAAGCGAUUUUGAAAAGCAGCGGGCAAUACUCAAACAGUGAGCAUUGGUUCAGACAACUGACAAUCCAUGGUGCAUAAAGAUGUCUUCAGAAAGGGGGAGUGGCAAAGGUAGACAAGGGAUUUCAGUGAAAAUAAAAAAAUAAUAUACAAUGAAUUCAUUUGAAAAAGAAAAAAAUAGAUGGUAAUAUUAUAAGGUAAAGAUUAUAUUAACCUAUUAUUUUUUUUUUAAAUUUAAUGAUGGUACUUUUCUCUUAAACCAAACAUAUUUGCUAAAUUGAAGUUAAAAGACAACCUUUCUUUACAGAACAAGUAUGAAAUAGUGUCCCUUUAAAUAUUCAUGACACCGACAAUAAAGAUAUUGUUUUAUCACGCUUCUCUUUUAUGAGCAACAAACUAUCUCCCAUCUUCAGAUAUCUUUUCCACUUCCAUACUUCAUGGGUUGCCAGAGUUCCCCUGCAACAAAACCCUGUCUCUCAUAAUUCACAGCCAGCCUCUGCUCUCCUCGCUCGCUCGGGCAGGUUGCAAUGGACACACAGUCGCUGUACAUAUCUACUCCUCCCUCAUCCAUGAACACCUUUGUAUUCCCCGGGGUUAGUUGCCAAGCUGUGUCUUCAGGGAGUAUUUACUAGUGAGAAGCUUCGCUGUGUUGUGAAGAUGUAAUGCUCUUGCUGGGGACUGGCACAUUCUUUAUCCUCAGAGCAUCGAUGUCCUCCUCGUGUUCUGUGAGCCAGCUCCAACGUUGUAGAAUGUUACACAGUAGUGUGGAUUCAAUGGUAACGUUUGCUGAUACACUUUUUGGGUAAUUUUGACCGUUUAGCUGUUUUUUUUAAGUUUACUUUCCACAAAGAACCAAUGGUAAUUCAUUUCUGAGAAUGGUUUUCGUUUGUAAUUUUGCUAAUGUCGUCUGUUCUUUUUUUAUGUUUUAGGCUGUCCAAGAUGUUCGGCCCAGGAAGAUUCUGGUAAGGCCUUACAUGGAGAUAUGAAAAGAGAGCUUGUGUUAGGGAUGUUGGAGACUCUGGUAAAGUGAUAUAGGGGCUCGCGGAGUUCAAAGAUCCACAAGUUUGACAGAACCCGG